GACACUGUACUACUAACCUUCUCUAGAUUUAUGAUAGCCUUGAAGCUGUUGAUGUAUCUCACUAGUAGGGGUCCAGAAAAAUAAUUACUUGAGAGGUCAAAAAUUUGGAUUUUAGAGAAAAAAGGGCUAGACUUGGAGUUAUUGACACACAGGGAACCAUGCAUUUGAUUUGACUUUAGUACAAGAACUUGUAGCUGUGGAAGACUUCCCAACCAAUGAGGAAAUGUAUCAUUGAUCUUGUUGUUACCAAGAUCUAGUACUUCCAGACCUCUACAAUUAAGGAUGGAUGGUGUCAAAGGCCCUCCUAACAGAUUUCCAUUUAAAUUGAAAUUACUCAAUUGGCAUCCCAUUGCAAAUGUUGGAGGAAUCGUCCCAUAGAACUUGUUCUUCUUCAGAUUCAAGAAUUGAAGGCUGUUGCUCAAAUUUCCAAAACACUGCGGAAUUGUUCCACUCAAGUAAUUGUGGGACAAAUCAAGAAUUUGAAGAUAAGUGGCAUUGCAUAUUAAUGAAGAGACCUCUCCAUUGAAACAAUUAUUUGAGAUCAAAAAGACAGUGAUGGUCGAAGCUGGAAUCGGAAGAUUUCCACUGAUCAAAUUGGAGCUUAAGUCAAGAACAUCAAUAUUCUUCCAUGGAAAGUGCUCAGCUUCUGUCAAAGAGUUGUGAAAUACAUUUAAGUAAGUCAAAGAGCCAUUCCCCACCUCUUGCAUCCACUAUGGAAUCUUGCCUUUAAUUUUGUUGCAAGAGAGGUCUAAGCUUUCCAAACUUUUAAGCCCUUUUAAAAAUUGGGGGAAUUCACUAAGAUUGCAAGAUGACAAAAAUAACCAUUCAAGAUUUCCACUGAUCAAAUUGGAGCUUAAGUCAAGAACAUCAAUAUUAUGACGAUAUAUAAGUUUCCCUUUAUUUUUUAAAAAAAAACCUCGUCUCGAGAUAUCGAAAGGUCAUAUCCAAUGAGUUAGGACACAACGUUUUGAAUUCCCGAGAUAAGCUUUAAUUUGAAAUUUUUAUAUUUUAAUUAAAAAAUGAUACUCAGUUACUUAAAUUCAACGAGGAAAAUUGGAGCCCAGUAAGUUAGGGCACAUUCUUCUCGAAAAUCUUGGAUACCGGGUAUUACGUUAUUUUGAAAACCUUUGAAUAAAACGAUUUCUAUACUUUGAUUAAAUGCAACCUUUUAAACGAAUAAAAUGCGAUGGAACAAUAACAUACAACCCGAAGUGAUAAUUCGUAAACUAAAAUAUAUGCUAAUGAUUGACAAGGAAUCAAUGAAUACGAGUAAGCAAUACAAUACAUCAUAUAAGAGCAACAAUCUCAUAUCCCACAUUAUGCAAAUACUAACGUCCAUAUUAGCAAGCUAAAUGAAUUAAAAGUUAAUUAAAGAACAGCAAGCAAAUUAAUGUAAAUCUAAUAUAACAAGCUUUAAAAUAAAAUAAAAAUAAAAAUCAUGAAAGAGAGGAAAGUGCUAAGGGAUAAGAUUGAAGGCCCGUAAUAUGAUCGCAAGACAAAGAAGCACGCUCUGUUAUGGAAAAAGAGUUCUUGAACUGGAUUAAUGAAGAGCAGGAGUGAGAUCCUGAAGAAGAAAAAGAAGCAUAAAGAUGGGGAAAAAAGAGGAAUAGGGAGAGAAAGAGAUAGGAGGCCAUGUUAUGUUUGUAGAGGAAGAAGGAUAGGAAUGGUAUUUAUAGGCAACAAAUAAUACCACAACAUUGGUGUUACAGUCUUUUUUUUCUUUUACAUUGAAAUGCUACAGAUAUUAGAUUUUCAAAAUAUUUGUAUUUUUCACAAUCAUCAACACUUAGUCGUCAUUUUACCAUAUAUUUUUCAUUCUUUUUUUUUUUAACAAAAUCUUGUAUAUCAUUUGGACUCGCUAAACAACUAAAAAAAUAAAGAUUGAUGAGAUUACAAAGUAGAUUGACUUAGUCUUCUUCCCUAUAACAUGUAAAGAAUGUAUGUGUCUAUUCAAUUGCCUGUCAACCAAAGCUUAUUAAUGUGGAAAUUCUUUUCCACACAAAAGAACAAAAUUGUGCUCUAUUCAGCUACGUUUGAGGAAGGAGACGGCUGGAAAUUUAAUCCACCGAUUCCAUAAAAACGUGUAUAUUUAUUUAUAAAUAUAUAUAUAACCUCAUGAUUCAAAUCUAAAAUCUCAUUUGUUAUAAAUUCUUAUAAAUUUAUUUGGGAAUAGUUAUUUUUCAUUCGUUAAUUAUUUCUCUUUUAGCCGUGAAACUUAUAUGGUUCGUUAAAUCGCCCCAAAAAAUGAUAAAAAAGAUUAACAAAACUAGCCCCUACGUGGCUGAUGUUGACCCUUAGUAGUUAAUGGCAACUCCUAUGUAAUUGUUAACAGAUACCACAGCAACAAUGUUUGUUGACGUGACAAUGCCACAUGACCAAUAAUCGUUGUCAUGGUAGUGCCACGCCGUCACCCAUUGAUGACAUAUUAACCUUCGAGUUAAACUCAAAUUGCUCUUUCCUUUGUUAUAAAUUAAGAGUAUAACUAAUUUUGAUAAGAAUAGUUACUUUUCAUUAACUCAGUUUAAAGGACUAUAACACGUAAAGUUUGGUCUAUUGCAGAAUUCACAUGCAAUGCGGGAUAUUUACAUUUUGAAGAAUUCAACACAUAUAUGGGAAUUUUUGUAUUUCCACAAUCAUAAUUUUGUUAGUGAUCAACAACUACUUCCUCCUUACCAUAUAUUUUUCAUUCAUAAAAUUGAUUACUUUUUUUAUCAAAGAAGUAAAAUAAUUAACAUUCUUAAGAUUACAAAGUCUUCUUCCUUAUAACACGUAAAGUUUAGUUCCAAAUAAUUUUCCACAAAAAAAAGACCAUCAAUUGUCGAUUGACUAUACUUUAACUCCAAAAAAAAGACUAAGACUAUCAAUUGUCUAUUGACUACACUUUAACUCGACAAAAAAGGACUAAGACUAAGACUUUCAAUUGUCUAUUGACUUCACACUUGCGGUUGCUUCCUCCUAUCUCUCUCACCCAAACUUAAUUUAGAAGCAAUGGGGAAAUUUUGGACAUUUGGGCCACAAUGAACAAUACUUCCACACCAUUUGCAGUAUUGACUACGUUUACUUGAGGGAAAACAAAGACAUGAAUGCUGGAAAUUUUAACUAGUUUGUACCGUCAAUGAAGCUACGUACCUAAAAGCCUUUUAGGAUAUCAAUUCCUGUAAUUGGAUUAAUCUCAUCGUUGCUGCAAUCUUUUGACAGUGUAAUCGAAUCUUAAAUAUGUUACUCUGCAAUGCUGUUGUAAAAAUUACUCUUAAAAUUGUCGAUAGAUAUAUAGGUUUGGCACAAAAUUAAGAAUACACAAAGGCAGGUUGAAUUAUUCCAUGUUUGAACAUAAAUUCAUAUGGCAAAAGGGCCCAAACCAUACCUUAUGUUCAUGAAUUCUCAUCAUCACAUGUUUAUAAAUGCAUCUCAAAACUUGAAUAAUUGAAUCUUUUGUAAUUCUACAUGUAUUUUUUUUUAUGGUGAGCAGUAUAAUGUUUACUAAAAAUUGAAAUUCAAGAAAGAAGACAUACAUAGUUGCACCAUACAAGUUGUUACACUCGAACUAAACCCUUACAAAUAGUACGAGAUGCAAUGAAAUACAGAGGAAUUGGUACAAUCAUAAAGACAGACACAUACCAAUGCAACUUUUCACCAUAGGAAAAACUUUCUGACAGACUACUAAACAAGAAAUUAUGAAGACACAGCAGAAAUGCUUUGACUUCUUUUGCACCAACUAGAUCCUUCUUCAUCCAUUGAUGCGAUUGCUAUAUUUUGGCUUUCUUCUUCGCCUCUUCUCAUGUUGGUUUUCAACCAAAUUCACAAACCUUUUCACCUUACCGGUUUGGAAAACAACAUAUCCCAUGGCCAUUCCAAACACUACCCCGCAUCCACAACCUAUCAACACCACUAUCCAACCAAAAGCAAUGUUUGCUUUUGAGCCAUCCUUUUCCAGCACAUUUGGAGGUGGUGUCUCAUUGAUGCUGCAACCUUUGGAGACUGGGAAUCCACAUAGUCUCUGUUUCCUUCAUAUGAAUUGUUUCGAAAUGUAUUGACAAUCUGACCAUGGAGUUGAUUUUCAGAAACGUUUAAGAAGAAAAGAAAUGCCGGAUCUGCCAAUAUCUCUGGAAUUAACUCAGUUCAAAUGACCAUAUAACUCGUAAAGUUUGGUCGAAGACUGGCAGCGUCUAUUGACUUCAACUCUUGCUAUUACCUCAAGAAGAAAGACUGCUACAAUUCUAUCUUCUUUAAACCAGCUAUUUAAAAGCAAUAAGGACAUUAAAUCCACCAAUUUAUCUUUGAAGUCAUUCGUCAUGCAGCUCUGCUAUGUACGAUUAUUGGCAAAAAUCUUGAAAGGAGACAACCUCAAAUUUGAAGACAAGAAAUGAGCAAGAACAUGCACCAACGAAGAAUCGAUUAUUGUUUUGUAUUUGGUAAAUACAAUUUGAGUUAAAUAAUCAAGAAUGAUAGUGAAUAAAUAAGGAAAAACAAUGUAGAUUCAGAACCACAAUAAAUCAUAUUAAGCUCAUGAGUUUAUAAUAUAUAUCUCUGCAGCUUGAUUGCCUUGUUAGCUAUAAACAUAACCUGUUAAUUCCAUCAUUAAUACCAUUAGAUAUAUUUUGAUGGGGGAGAUUUUUUAGUAGGAAAACAGUUGAAGUCAUUCAAGAAGACAUAAACAGCUGCAACUACGUAAGAGUUUAACUUUGAGAAUAGAUCCUUACACGUUAUUGAAAUGCCAUACUAAAGAUAAAGACAUAUAGCUAAACGUUAGACACACCAUAAAAAUAUAUAUAGGUAAAGUGAUAGGGUGUGAGUAAGGAGGCCAUGCUAUGUUUUCAAAUAAGAUUAUCAUGGUAUGAAUUAUGAGAACCCUAUUUAUAGGAAGAACAAAACCGAUAUGAAACUAAGAAUAUAGUCCAUUGAUAAUGAAGAAUCUAAGAAAUUUAAUGGAAAUUGUGGAUAAGCAUCGUGUUUUUAUCUCUGAUGGAGAAAAGCUAAGAGUGUGAGGAAGACCAACUGUCAAUGUCACCCAAACCGAAUCUACAAGUCACCACAAUGUACAGUAAUUCAAAGCAGGAAAAGUUCAUAGUUUCAGAGUAAAUAACACUUCAAUGAUUGUAUUAUAGAAAACAUGUGUAUCCUAUAUAUGUUGAACAAUAUUAUCUAACAAACAUAUUUUCCAAAAGACUAGAAAAUUUGUGAUUAAAUGCUAAAGUUACAUAUUUUAUGUAAUUAAAUUGGUUAAUUUAUGAGAGUGCACCACUAAUUUUUCCAUGUUUUUGUUGAAUUUUGUGCAGGGGUGCAAUUUGGGGCUAAAUAGAAGAAAAAGGAAACAAUUGGGCUAGAUUGAAGAGAGAAGCAAAGAAGGAGGGCCAAAACAGAAUUUUUCCAGAUUAAUUAGCUGAAAUUUUUGUUGACUUAGUGGGAGAUUAUUUUGGGAUUUUUUUUUAUAUCAUGGAAUAUUUUUCCUUAAUUUUCUAUACUAGUUGGCUUUUAAUUUAGCAAGGCCACUAGUAUAAAUAGAGGCUACAUUGUUCAUUUUAAUCAUCAAGUCUUGAAUCAAUUCAUAAAUCAAGCUUUCAUCUUUCAAUACAUUCUCUCUUUUCUACUCACAAAUUUAUUUGUUGUUUUUAGUUUCAUUUACUUUCAAUCCAUUAAUUUCCAGCUUGUUACCACUUAAACCAUUUUCAAUUUCUUUUUCAAACUUUCUUUCCAUCUCCAGUAGCUAAUUCACUUUAUUACACCCCCAAAAUUCCAGCCCCCCAAACUAAAUCACGCCACCCAUUCCUUUCACCCAUUUUACCUUAUUUAAUUUAUCCAAUACCAACAUGCCCCAAACCUUAGCCAACUAAAUUCAUUUCCAGCUUUAGGUCGGAAUUAGCCUCGUCAAAACCCGUGAGUUACGAACCCGAGCAAAUUAACUCCUAAAUUUUAGUACUUAUUAUUUCUCCGGAUUAAGAGUAUGAUUUUGUCAACUCACAAAGUCAGAUCAACAUUAAGUUAAAAAAGACGUCGUUUGAUUUAGUGUGGUUAGACGUACAGUUGGAAUUCCAAAAAGAUCGAUUCUAAUCGGUUUUCUGUGAACACAUUGGCGUGCCAAUUGGAGAUUGCUGUUUGGUUCCGUCAAGGGAAGUAGUAACCCGAUUUAAAUGUCCCACGCGGUUGAGGGCAUUGGUUCGAGCUAGGGUUUUCUAGAACGCAAAGCUGCCGGAGUUCUAAAUCACGAACAUUUCGUGGUUGUUCGAUCAGUAAGGGUUAGUUAUUGGACGUUCCAUAACUAAUUUACACAAGGAAGAGUUAGUGUCUGAGGCGUCCUUGGUAGCUAUAACUAGCUUAUUGGAAAAGAGGAGUUCAUCUAAUUUUGAGAAUCGGUUCAAAGACGAGGAAAAUUCGUGCCUAAAGCUGAGCUUAUUCUAAUUAAAUUUUCUUCAUAUUUAUUUAACUAUUUUAAUUAUUCUGUUUUCAACUUUAUCUUUUCACGCAUUUUAUUUAUUUAUUUCAGGUCUUCAAAUUUUAUCCCCCCGAACUUCUUGGGCACGACAACUGCCCCAACAUAAAUCUGGUCAAAAUAGAAACAAUUUGCAGUAAACCCAGUCUCUGAGGGAUCGACCCUACUCCCUAUACUGUUUAAAUCGCAAAUUAGGCGUAGGUUUAUAUUGGUGGAUUCGACACCCAUCAAUUUGUAUGUCAUUUUCUAUUACUUGCAAGAAAACUACAGGGGAAAUUGCAUUUCUAAUUCAUCCAUAGGCUUUAAAUUCAAACAAGAAAAAGGAAAAAGAAUAUAUAUAUAUCAACAGGAAACUUCAAGGAGAGAAAUUUUGUUACAUCAAUUUUCCAGUCAUAUUUAAUCUUUACCCAAAGUUGAUUCUAGAUUAAAUUUGGAAAAAAUUAAAAAAGAGGACAUGUAUUUUUUUUUAUUUUUGAAAAGUAAAGGAUUAUAUCUCAGCCAAAUAAAAAAGUCACAAUGCAAAGCCAAGAGCCAAAGCCAAGCCAAGCACACACUCAACUAGCAGACAUAACUCAUACAGGACCUAGAUGUAUUAUUGAACUCUUAUAUAAAAGACAACUGAAGAUGCAAAGCUUAAUUGUUAAGCUUUUCUGAUGCUUGAUAAGCAUAGUUUUAGUUCAGUUCCGAAAUCUAAACUGCUUUGCUAUGGGAUUAUUUUUAUAAGUACAUUGAGAUCAAUGCAUGCUAUUGCGAUUUAUUAUCUUUGAUGCCAAGGAAAUGACAGAAUUCAAAGACCAAAAGGUUCGAUUACAUACUAGAUCAUGGAUGUAAGCCAAUCUACAACCUCUCUCCUCGACCUCCAUGUGAAACCAGCAUGAUUUGAAUUCUCAGCCGCAUAUACCCUCACAAACUCCUCAGCAACAACAUAAAACAUAUACCUAACACUCCUUUGAGAACCGAUAACUGCACAGACAGAUUCACUAAUGGAAGCCUUCAAGAAAUAUUGAACCACACAAUUACCACACUUCUGUGAAAUAAACUUGUUGGUGCAAAGAGACAACAAUAGACUGUUUUCAAUCUUGCUUGUAUAGCAAGCCUCGAGCCUUGCUGAAGAAACAAACUCAAAAGCAAGAACAGAAACACAUGCGAAUGAAAAACAAAAGAAAUUGAGAGAGAGAGUAUUUUGAAUGAAAAGAGCUGAUAUUUCAUUAACAAAUCCAGAAGGCAUAAUGCCAUUACAUAUAAUAGAUAACAACAACAAAAUGAACAAGUCUUUACCUAAUGACAUACCUAACACCACUAAAUUUACAUUGGAAAUUGUUAAUCAGCUUGCUUAAGUUUCUUUGCUGAUUUUUUCAGUCAAUCAAUCAACAAAAAACAUCAUAAGGUUUACCAACUUAGUUCAACAUGAACUAGAUUACAAAAUAAUAAUUAAAAAUACAAUCAAAACAUAACAAGUAGUUAGGCAACUUUAAGCUCCAGUUUCUGCACUUCAUAGCUCGACUGCUUGCUGCCACUUCUCCUUGCAUGGCCACCUUUGCAUGUCUUGCAUGGGAACUAAAUUCAACACUCCUCCUUAGUUUCCAUGCUAGUGACACCUAAUUGCCUUCUUAAUUUAACAAAUUUAGACACAUUGAGUGCCUUUGUAAAGAUAUCAGCAAUUUGCUCUUCUGAAUUGCAAUGAACCAGCUCGAUUUCAUGAGCUUGCUCCAUCUCCCUUAUGACAUGUAGCUUGAUGUUGAAGUACUUUGCUCUACCAUGAAAGAUAGGAUUCUUUGCAAUUGCAACAGCAGAUUUGUUGUCACAGUAAAUCUCUGUUGCCUUUCCUUGAUUUUGAUUUAAAUCAGCUAGGAUUUUUCUAAGCCAUAUGGCUUGAUUUACAGCAGAUGCAGCAGCAACAUAUUCAGCUUCUGCUGUUGACUGUGCUACCAGACUUUGCUUUUUAGAACUCCAGCAAAACAUGCCUGAGCCAAGACUAAAGGCAUAUCCAGAUGUGCUUCUCAUGUCAUCACAAGAUCCAGCCCAGUCACUAUCAACAUAGCCUAUUAGCUUCAUGUUUAUAGCCCUUUUGAACAAUACACCAUGAUCAAUGGUGCCUUUGAUGUAUCUAAGCACUCUUUUAGCUGCUUGAAAGUGCUGAUCAUUGCAGCAAUUCAUGUAUCUGGAUAGCACACUAACAGCAAACAUGAUAUCGGGUCUUGUUGCAGUCAAAUACAACAGACUACCAAUGAGACUUUUGUACAUAGUCUCGCAAAUUGGUUCACCACUCCCUUGCCUCGAAAGCUUCACUCCAACAGCCAUUGGUGUGCUUGUUGGCUUGCAGUUCUUCAUAGAGAACUUAUCCAGGAUCUUCAUAGUAAAAGAACUCUGACUAAGAAAGAUUCCCUUUGCUGUUUGCUUCACUUCCAUUCCAAGGAAGUAGUUCAUUCUGCCUAAAUCAGACAUUUCAAACAUUUCCAUCAUUUUUCUUUUGAAAUCUUCCAGCAUUCUUCUAUCUCCUCCAGUCACCAAUAAAUCAUCAACAUAGAGUGACAGGAUAAGCUGAGUUUCAGCUUGGUUCUUCUUCACAUACAGUGUUGGUUCACUGAGACUUCUCUCGAAUUCCAAACUGAGCAAGUAAGAAUCAAUUCGAGCAUACCAGGCUCAAGGAGCCUGUUUUAGGCCAUACAAAGCCUUUUUCAGUCUGUACACCUUGUGUUCUUUGCCAGUGACCACAAAUCCUUGAGGCUGUUCGAUGUAGAUCUCUUCUUCCAGGAAACCAUUGAGAAAUGCAGACUUAACAUCAAGCUGAUGAAUGGUCCACUGAUGUUGAGCAGCCAAGGCAACUAUCAUUCUAACUGUGUCAAGCCUGGCUACUGGUGCAAAUGUCUCCAGAUAGUCCAGACCAUACCUUUGGCUAAAACCUUUGACAACAAGCCUGGCUUUUAGCUUGUUCAGACUGUCAUCUGCAUUCUGUUUUGCUCGAUAGACCCAUUUUACUCCAAUGGUCUUCUUUCCAGUAGGUUUAUCAACUAGCUCCCAUGUCUGGUUCUUCUCAAUCAUGUUGAUUUCAUCGACCAUAGCUAGUUUCCAGCCUUCAUCUGCCUCAGCCUCUUCAAAACUGCUAGGUUCUGCUAUUGCAACCUGUGCCCUUUCAUAAAUAUCAUCUAGGGGCCUUGUGCCUCUCACAAGCACAUCAUCAACAUCCAUUUCAGGUCCUAGCUGCUCAAGUUCAGCUUGAUUAGGCACCAGGUCUUCUGAAGCAGCUUCUGGUUCAUUCUUUUCCCAAUUCCAACAAGCCUUCUCAUCGAAGAUGACAUCUCUGCUCACUUGAACUAUGUUUGUCAAAGGAUCCAGCACCCUGUAGCCCUUCUUAACUGAGCUAUAGCCUACUAGAACACCUGGUUGAGCCCUUUCAGAGAGCUUGUCUCUCUUAACUGCUGGUAUUUGUGCAUAACACAGGCAACCAAACACCUUCAGAUGUACCAAGGAAGGCUUGAAACCGGACCAAGCCUCGAAAGGUGUUUUGGAUGCAAGAGCUUUGGUAGGAAGCCUAUUUUGAAGGUAGACAGCAGUGUUUACUGCCUCAGCCCACAUGGUCUUGGGCAGUUUCUUCUCAAACAGCAGGCACCUGGCCAUAUCCAUCAAGCUUCUGUUCUUUCUUUCUGAUACCCCAUUCUGCUGAGGUGUGUAGACAUUUGUAAGCUGGUGUUUGAUACCAGCAUCAUUGCAAAUGGCUUGAAACUGAGCUGAAGUGUACUCAGUGCCAUUGUCUGACCUUAUCGAUUUCAGCUUGCAACCUGUUUCUGUCUCUACAGCAAUUUUAAACUUCACAAACACUUGAGCUACCUCAAACUUGUGUUUUAAGAAGAAAAUCCAGCAAAACCUUGUAAAAUCAUCAAUGAAGAGGAUGAAAUACCUAUUUUUCUUGAGUGAUUCAGUCCUCAUCGGGCCACAUACAUCAGAGUGCACCAGCUGUAGUUUUUUAGUAGCUCUCUAAGCUGAAUUUGUAGGAAAUGGCAGUCUUGCCUGUUUCCCCAUCUGGCAAACUUCACACACAUCAUCAUGCUCCACUGAGCUAGUAAAGUUCUCUGCCAAGCCUUCUUUGGCCAUUCGAGCCAAUGAUCUGAAGUUGGCAUGCCCAAGCCUUUGAUGCCAAAGCUUGGAAUCAUCAACAGAGGCUGUAUAUGCAGACUUUGAGUCAUUUGGCCAGUGUACCUCAAAGCAUUUGUUAGUCAUUGUGACUGUCAUAAGGCUUGAUCCACUUGGAUCAGCAAUGUGGCACUGUUUGUUCUUGAACACAACAGAAUAGCCUUUCUUGAGCAAUUGAGCUAUGCUGAGAAGGUUUCUGUCGAUUUCUGGCACUAACAGCACAUUUGGAAUGAUCUUGUUGCCUGUGGGGGUACAUAUCAGCACCUCUCCUCUUCCUUCAGCCCUUAUGAACUGACCAUUUCCAACCUUGACCUUGGUUUUACAACUUCUAUCCAAGGUUUUAAAUAAGGAGGCAUCUGGUGACAUGUGGUUAGUGCAACCACUGUCCAAUAACCAGCCUUUUGAGCAUUUCUUCUCAGCAGCUAAGAAAGAAACAGCAAAGACCUGCUCUUCUUGAUCACUACUGUCCUCAGCUACUCGAGCUUCAACCUUUGGUUGUUGAAAUUGACUCUGCCUUGACUUGGUUUUAUUUUUGCAAACCCUUUCAACAUGGCCUUUCUUCUUGCAGUGUUGGCAUACUGCAUCUGGCCUGAACCAGCAUCUGUCUUCUGGAUGACCUGGCCUCUUGCAAUGUCUGCAGGGCUGGUCAUUGCUCCUUGCAGUAUCAGGCUUAGGCCUGCUUUUCCAAGGCUUUUUACCUCUUGGAGCAUUGAUGCUCGAGGCUUCUCUGGCCUUGGCAUUGAAUGCACCUUCCUGGUGGUCUUCAGCUCUGCUAGCUCUCCUUUGUUCCUGAGCAUAGAAAGUGUUGAUUAGCUCAGUCAAAGAGAUGGUAGCAAGGUCUCUUGAGUCCUCAAGAGAGGAUAUCUUGGCCUCAUAUCUCUCAGGCAAAGUGGAGAGAACUUUCUCUACUAUCCUUGCCUCAUCAAAGUGCUCACCAAGGAGCCUUAUACUGUUAACCACUGCCAUGAUUCUAUCUGCAUACUGCUUCACUGUUUCUUCUUCCUUCAUCUUCAGGUUCUCAAAAUCCCUUCUCAAAUUCAAUAGCUGUUGUUGCCUUGUUCUCUCAGUGCCUUGAAACUCCUCCUUAAGCUUAUCCCAUGCCUGUUUUGGAGUCUCACAGGCCAUAAUUCUGGUGAAGAUGACAUUUGACACACAAUUCUGAAUGCAGGACAUGGCUUUGUGCCUUUUGGUCCUCUCAUCAGCAUGUUGCCUAAUCUGAGCUACUGUGGGAUUGGCCCUCAGUGGUGCUGGCUCAGCAUCUGUGUUGACAACUUCCCACAGAUCAAAGGCCUGUAGGUAAGUCUUCAUCUUGACCAGCCAUAUGUGAAAGCCUUCUCCAUUGAAGACUAGUGGGGCUGCUGGUGAAAAACUUGAGGAAGACAUUCAGCUUUCUUAGUUUGAUAAAACAGGUCCACUAAGAAUGAAGCUCUAGAUACCAAUUGUUGGUGCAAAUAGACAACAACAGACUGUUUUCAAUCUUGCUUGUAUAGCAAGCCUCGAGCCUUGCUGAAGAAACAAACUCAGAAGCAAGAACAGAAACACAUGCGAAUGAAAAACAAAAGAAAUUGAGAGAGAGAGUAUUUUGAAUGAAAAGAGCUGAUAUUUCAUUAACAAAUCCAGAAGGCAUAAUGCCAUUACAUAUAAUAGAUAACAACAACAAAAUGAACAAGUCUUUACCUAAUGACAUACCUAACACCACUAAAUUUACAUUGGAAAUUGUUAAUCAGCUUGCUUAAGUUUCUUUGCUGAUUUUUUCAGUCAAUCAAUCAACAAAAAACAUCAUAAGGUUUACCAACUUAGUUCAACAUGAACUAGAUUACAAAAUAAUAAUUAAAAAUACAAUCAAAACAUAACAAGUAGUUAGGCAACUUUAAGCUCCAGUUUCUGCACUUCAUAGCUCGACUGCUUGCUGCCACUUCUCCUUGCAUGGCCACCUUUGCAUGUCUUGCAUGGGAACUAAAUUCAACAAAACUCCUUCUGCCACUCGAAACAAUGACCAUUCCAAACAUUUUGAUAGACAAUACACAAUUUGCUUCACUACUUACUCACAUAGCCAAAAAAUAUCCAAUGAAACUGGCAAAGGGUUCUUCCAAAAUGGUACAUUAGCUGCCAAAAAGACAACCACCAUAUAUUCCUUCAUUCAGUAAACAGCUUCAAUAUGGAAAUAAGUUAUUAUCUUAAAAAUGCUUUUUCUACCACAGAAGAAUAAGAACUAGGCAUCUCAGAAAAUUUGCUAAAUUAAUGACUUUGCUCCCUUCAAAAUAAACAAAUGAUUAACUGCAUUAUCCCAAAGAGGUCACCAUCAACCUCCAGUUGAACUUUCAAGGAAUAAUAAUAAAAAAUAGAAGGAAAUAAGGGGGAAAAAACCCAACCAGAACUCAGUAAUAGCUGAGCCUUGAAGAUCUGUAGGUAGUAAGAGAAAAACCCCAUGACGACUAAAGUCCAGGCUUGAAAGAACCAAAAGGGAGCAACAUAUGACUAUGAUUCACUGGACCAAGAGAAUCACCAAUGAAUAAAGGAAAAAGGGUACUUUCCUUUAUACCUAAACAUACAAUAUUUAGCCUCAAAAUGGGAAAAUUUCAGGUUUUCACAAAGGGUUUAAGAAAGAGGGUGAAAGUUAAAGAACUUGUCUUUGUUUUGAUGUGUGGUACACGAGAUAGUGAAGGAAAAUAGAGGUGAGGAAAUAAGAUGGAGUAAGUGCCUAAGUGGUGAAAAAGGAGAGCCUAAAAGAGACAUUUUUGAAGGGUAGUUUAGAAGCUGCAGAGGCUUUGGCAUACAGCAGCUGAUAAUGAGAGAAGACAAACCAGAAAUGUAAGUACGACGACGAUAAAAAUUAAAAAAUUUUAAGAAUUAAUGAAAUAAAAUUUUGUAGCUUAGCGAAUUGGGACGAAGUCCACCAGUGUGAUGCCCAUAGAUCCAUACCUGGGAUUUUUCUAUUUGGGCUAACUUUCUAACUUCUCCCACCAGUCUUAAAACUUUGCAGAUUUUUUCAAUUUGAUCUGGAUUGUAUGAUAACAUAUCACUUUGAGAUUGGAAAAAAAAUUAUUUUUUUUAAAUUAGAGAAAAAAUAAAGAAACUAAAUUUCAAGCAUGCAAAGUACAAAAGAAAGAACUGUAUUAAUAAAAGAUGAGUUACUUCACUCAGAUUGGAGUACCCUUUAAACAAGUUUAUUCUUGUAGAGAAAGAAACUGGAUUUUGAUUUCAUUUGCUGUGGCAAAAUUUUUAAUUUCAACAACAGUAUAACAUAUUGAAAGCCUGCCUACAUCUCGGCAGAAAAAUUUACAAAUUCUUUCAUCAGACAAUUUAAAUGAUGCAAUGCAAAGAUUCAUCAAUGUAUGAUCUUUUUAUCAUAAAUGGCUGUUUUACUGGAAAACUUGAUAUGUACUGUCUUUCACAUUCUUUUGUGCUGAAUGGUCUCUGAAAACUGCAAUCAUCAACUAUAGAUAACCCAUUCCUCAGCGCCGCCAGAGCCGACCUUGUUGUUUCUGUUCUUGAACUUGCCUGUGUCAUCAAAGGCAGUGAGCAUUUAUCAAUGUUAUAAAAAUGGCAUAUCGAAGUCAGAUUUUACUUGACAAUACACAAAUGUAAGAAGAUAAUUCACCUUUGAUACUCUUUAGAACGCUCGAGAAACUCUUUCGCGAUGUCUUUUCUUUAAUAUGAUUGCAAUACUUGUCUGAUAUCAGCCGGACCAUUGUGUUAGUACAAAACUCCGGUAAGGAAAAAAACUCGAACACACGAUCGGAACUCGAAAAGAAAAAGAAGAAAUAGGACAGGCUCCAAGGCGUGUAUCAAGCCACUAUCUUUAAGGUUAUAUUCGCCCCCACUUAUCUUCAGUGUGCAAACGAGUUCCAAGCAAAUUAACCUCGAGGAUACAAUGAAGCCAAUGACUAUUUGCGUUUUGCACUGACGAGAAUAGUCCACUAUACACUAAGUAAUGUAUAACAAAAACUCAAUUUCUACAAAGGAUUUCUGCAGCAAUACUUUAUAGAAUAAUCUAAUAAUAUUAGAAAAUGAAGGAAGAGAAGAAAUAAUAUUAGAAUUUGUUGAUAUGAUUUCCAAAUGAAAUCCCAUUCCUAUUUAUAGGAAUUUUCAUGUCUCUUCAUAGAGACAUCUUUCAAUAGGUGUCUUUAUGAAUAAAUAAAUAAUAAUAAUUAUUCAUUUAAUUUUGUAACUAUUCAAAUAAUAUUUUUUGAAUAGUUAUAAUUCUUUUUUAAAAAAUCAAAUGAUAUAACUUUUGACCAAUGACCAAAAGUUUUAUCUUUUGAUUAAUUACACCCAUUCAUUUAUAGUUAUUGGGAUACUAUAAAUAUUUGAAAAUAUUCCAACAAUCUCCCCCCAUUUUCAAAAUAUUUAGAUUUUGAUAUUCUUGGAAAUCAAUUUGCAUAAAUAAAGGUGUCUUACGAUUGAACCUUCACUUAGUGAAAACAUGUUAAAGUUAAUCGAAAUUGUAUGGUAGACUAAGCUUUGAACCAACUAUUCCAUUUGAUUAAUUGAACACAUCUCACACAAUGAUUUCAACAUCAGUCAAUGCAUAGUAUCUAGGGACACUAUUAUAGCCAUGUGUCUAUGUCCUCUUUUCAUGAGUGCUGUCAGAGCCAAGCCCUUAAGCUCCUAGAAGCGGCCACACUUCCACUCACAUAGGUAGAUCCCAUCAAAAGUGUUCCCGUAAUUAUAACACUCUAACAUAUUUAUGUUAUGGGUCCAUUAAGAGUAAAUUACUCAUCCUUCCCUUAUCAUUACGGGUACCUAGCACUUUAAUCUUAGGAUGGAUUUAUUUAUAGUGCUAACAGUCACAUACUAAUGAUGUACUUUGUCUCAUUGAACUCAAGACUUGACGUUAUACCAAGCAUUGAGUCGAGUUUCCAUCAUGGGUGACUCUAAUUAAUAGGCUUGAGUCCCAUCCCUUUUGAGGUCCUUUUUACUGCAUCUCUAGCAAGACUUUUUGUCAAAGGAUCUGCCAAAUUUUCACUUGACCUCACAUAAUUAAUAGUGAUCACUCCAUCAGAGAUUAAUUGUCGGACAUAACUAUGUCUUAAUCCAAUGUGUCUAGACUUUCCAUUAUAUACUUGGCUAUAUGCCUUUGCUAGAGUAGCCUCACUAUCACAACGGAUAGAAAUAGGUGAAAUUGGCUUAAGCCAUAAACGUACAUCAUAAAGCAAAUUUCUUAACCAUUCUGCUUCUUUAGAUGCAGCGGCUAAUGCAAUAAAUUCUGCUGCCAUGGUGGAAUCAGUAAUACAUGUUUGUUUCUUGGAACCCUAAGAAAUGACUCCUCCACCAAGAAUGAAGAUCCACCCACUAGUAGAUGCAUGAUCUUCCAAACUUGUAAUCCAACUAGCAUCCGAAUACCCUUCUAAAACUGGAGGAUAUCCAUUAUAACACAAUCCAUAGUUAAUAGUUUUCUUUAAGUACCUAAGUACUCUAUUUAAAGCUUGCCAAUGCAAACUACUUGGAUUAUUUGUGUAUCUACUCAAUUUUCCAAUAGCAUAUGCAAUAUCUGGUCUUGUACAAGUCAUUAUGUACAUAAGAAAACCAAUUGACUUGCAUAUUUCAAUUGAUCAAUUUUCCUACCAGCAUUAGAUACUAAUUUUAAUUGAGGAUCCAUGGGUGUAGAUACUGGUAUACAGUUGAAAAUAUCAAACUUUUUAAGCACAUUUUCAAUGUAAUGUGAUUGUGAUAAAGCUAUAGUGCUUUCAUCUCGGGUUAUUUUAAUCCCAAGAAUAACAUCUUCUACACCCAUAUCCUUCAUAGCAAAGUUGUUUGACAAGAAUUUCUUUGUGUUUUCUAUUUGUUCCAAAUCCGUGCCAAAAAUGAGCAUGUCAUCUACAUAUAAGCAAAUUAUAACACCCUUUCCAUUAUCAAAUUUACUAUAUAUGCACUUAUCGGAUUCAUUUAUUUAUAGCCAUUAGCUAAAACAACCUUGUCAAACUUUUGGUGCCAUUGUUUUGGUGCUUGUUUAAGCCCAUAUAAAGAUUUAACAAGCUUACAUACCUUAUGCUCUUGUCCUGGAACAACAAAUCCUUCCGGUUGCUCCAUGUACACUUCCUCUUCCAAUUCACCAUUUAAAAAUGCAGUUUUAACAUCCAUUUGGUGAACAACCAAAUUAUAUAUAGAGGUAAGUGAUAUUAAUAGUCUAAUUGUAGCAAUUCUUGCUACUGGAGCAUAGGUAUCAAAGUAAUCAAUACCUUGUCUUUGUGUAAAACCUUUUGCUACCAACCUUGCUUUAAAUUUAUCAAUGGUUCCAUCGACCUUCAUUUUCUUUUUGAAGAUCCAUUUACAACCUAUUGGUUUGGAACCUGGUGGAAGAUCAACUAAGAUCCAAGUUUGAUUUCCCAUUAUUGAAUCCAUUUCAUCAUUUAUUGCUUCUUUCCAAAAAGUAGAGUCUUGAGAUUUCACUGCUUCUUCAAAUGUAACAGGAUCAGAUUCGGUAUUAUAACAAUAAGGUAUCUUAUUGCAUAUACUUUCACCUUUUCCUUCUAUAAGAAACAUAAUGAAAUCUGGUCAAAAAUCUUUGACCUUUUUAAUCCUCUUACUUCUUCUUAAUUCUUGACAAGAUUCAUCAUUAUUAUCAAUUUGUUUCAAUGGAAUCUCAUUCUCAUUUGAAGAAUGAAUCAAUUGUUGUGGUUGUAAUUGUCUUGAUAUAGAAUUAAAUCUAUUUUCAUCAAAAAUAGCAUCUCUUGAUUCAAUAACCGUAUUAAUUGAAAUUGAAUCAUUUGGUUCAAUUACUAUGAACCUAUAUGCCUUGCUAUUAUGUGCAUAACCUAUAAAUAUGCAUUCAAUUCCUCUUUCACCUAACUUUUUACGUUUAGGUGUUGGAACUUUUACAAUAGCUCUACAACCCCAAACCUUUAAAUAAUUAAGGUUUGGUUUCCUUUUCUUCCAUUGUUCAUAGAGGGUUAUUUUAGUUUCCUUAUUAGGAACUCUAUUCAAUAUAUGACAAGCUGUUAGAACAGCUUCUCCCCAAAAACCCUGUCCAAGACCUGAAUAUGAUAACAUUGAAUUUACCAUUUCAAUCAAGACUCUAUUUUUCCUUUCAGCUACACCAUUUUGUUGUGGUGUGUAAGGGGCUGAAACUUGAUGGACAAUUCCAGUGAGUUCAAAAUAACUUGGAUUAUAGUAUUCUCCACCUCUAUCCGAUCUUAAGCACUUGAUAAAUGAUUCACACUGAAGUUCAACUUCAGAUUUAUAAACUUUAAAUUUAUCAAGCGCUUCAUCUUUUGAAUGCAAUAAAUAUACAUAACAAUAUCUAGAACAAUCAUCAAUAAAAGUAACAAAAUAUUUCUUUCCACCUAAUGUAGGAGUAUUAUGCAAGUCACAUAAAUCACUAUGUAUCAAAUCAAGCAAUUUUGUUUUCCUUUUAACCUUAGGGAAAGGAUUUCUUGUAAUUUUAGUCAACAUACAGGUAUUGCAUUUUUCAAUAUUAUUAUUAAAAACAGGAAUUAAAUCUAAUUUAUACAUGUCAUUCAAUUUUCUAUAAUUCAAAUGACCUAAUCUAUAAUGCCACAAACAAAAUGAUUCAACCAUAUAAGCAGAAAUAGUAUUUUUAUUCUUAUUAAUAAUAUUAAGUUUGAACAUGCUUUCAUACAUAUACCCUUUUUCCCACAAAAAUUCCUCCCUUAGACAAAAUAAACUUAUCUGCCUCAAAAACAAGUUUGAAACCAAACUUAUUCAACAGACUUCCAGACACUAAAUUUUUCCUAACUUCUGGUACAUAAUAUACAUCAUUUAAGGUUAAAACCUUUCCAGAAGUGAAUUGUAGUUCAACAGACCCUUUGCCUUUAAUUUGCGGUGGAAGAAUUUCCCAUGUACAAGACAUUGUCAUUUUCACAUUGUGUGACUUUGUGAACAUGCUUUUGUCUUUGCACACAUGUUUGGUUGCUCCGGUAUCAAUCCACCAUGUAUUAUCAUCUUGUACCAUAUUAAUUUCAGAUAUCAUUGCAACGAACUUUUCGUUAUUAUCAGCCUUAGAAGAUGAUUUCUUCUUUAAAAAUCGAUAUUCAUUCUUGAAAUGUCCCGGCUUUCCACAAUGAUAGCAUGAGCCCUUUUGUUUCUUUUUGAACUUAGGUGCUCUAUCAGCCUGAUUGAACUUUCUUUUGAAUGGUUUAGUAGUCUGUACUUCCUCCGUAACAUGUACUUUGGCAUUUUCAGAAUUUAGGUUCUGAUCUUGUUGUCGAUACUCUUCUUCAAUACGAAGAUGAUUUGCCAAAGCCUCAAGAGAUAUUUCCUCUUUCUUAUGUUUUAGACUUCUUUUAAAGUCUUUCCAAGAUGGAGGAAGUUUGUCUAUUAUAGAGGAUACCACAAUUAUUUCAUCCAUUUUCAUAUCAUAUUGCUUAAAUUGAUUCAACAUCUUUUCAAUAUCACGAAAUUGUUCCAUAACAGAACGACCAUCAACCAUUUGAUAAUUAUUGAAACGACUGACAAGAAAUUUCUUACUUGUAACAUCUUCGGUCAUGUAUCUUGCCUCCAAUUUGUCCCAUAAAUCUUUAGCGGUGACGUCGUUUUGGUAGGUGUCGAACAAACCAUCAGAUAAACCAUUCAAUAUGUGGCCCAUGCACAUGUAAUCAGCAUUGUCCCAUUUUUGUCUUUCUCGGGUUGCAGCAAUAGAUUCGUUUUCAUUCUCUUCAGGUCUUGGAGUAUCCAAAACAUAAGCAAUCUUCAAAGUUGAUAACAAAAAGUGCAUCUUUUUCUGCCAUCGUCGAAAAUUGCCACCAUCAAAACGAUCAAGUUUAACAAAGUUGGAAGCCAACUCCCUUAGUGUUCCACUUUCAUGUGUUGUGGUAGUCAUCAUGAAAUAUAACCUUAAAAUUGUUAGUACAAAACUCCGGUAAGGAAAAAAACUCGAACACACGAUCGGAACUCGAAAAGAAAAAGAAGAAAUAGGACAGGCUCCAAGGCAUGUAUCAAGCCACUAUCUUUAAGGUUAUAUUCGCCCCCACUUAUCUUCAGUGUGCAAACGAGUUCCAAGCAAAUUAACCUCGAGGAUACAAUGAAGCCAAUGACUAUUUGCGUUUUGUACUGACGAGAAUAGUCCACUAUGCACUGAGUAAUGUAUAACAAAAACUCAAUUUCUACAAAGGAUUUCUGCAGCAAUACUUUAUAGAAUAAUCUAAUAAUAUUAGAAAAUGAAGGAAGAGAAGAAAUAGUAUUAGAAUUUGUUGAUAUGAUUUCCAAAUGAAAUCCCAUUCCUAUUUAUAGGAAUUUUCAUGUCUCUUCAUAGAGACAUCUUUCAAUAGGUGUCUUUAUGAAUAAAUAAAUAAUAAUAAUUAUUCAUUUAAUUUUGUAACUAUUCAAAUAAUAUUUUUUGAAUAGUUAUAAUUCUUUUUUAAAAAAUCAAAUGAUAUAACUUUUGACCAAUGACCAAAAGUUUUAUCUUUUGAUUAAUUACACCCAUUCAUUUAUAGUUAUUGGGAUACUAUAAAUAUUUGAAAAUAUUCCAACACAUUGCGGGCUACAUCUGUGAACAAAUCAAAACAAAUGGUACUAUAAUCAACAAAUGAAUAUAGGAAACAUAAAAUUUGAACAAAGGCGAUGUGCAGAGGAAAAAGCAACAACAUAAGACUUACAUUCAAGAAAUGGAAUAAGGUCUAAAAGUGCGGUAUCAUCAGUCUCGACCUUAUAUGGCUUAAUAUGGACACAAUUUUCUGGUUGAAGGCUAGAAUCAAAUGCAUGAGCACUCACAUAUAAAAUCUUGGUUGGAUCCCUGUUUAGCUUUGAAAGAUCCUGCCAACAGGAACUAUUUGUUAACAAUAAGGCUUCUUUUUAAGUAGCAGCUUGUAAAGGCACUGUCUCAUAUAUUAAUUCACAUAGUAUUGUAGAAACUAAGGAGGAGAAAACCAAAAGCAAAAUGUUUUGAAGGGAAGAGAUUGACUAUGACAUGGUAAAAGUAUCAUGGAGGCCCCUAUGUUAGGAGUUAGAUUGCCUUUUGCCCCCUUUACUCAAAAACUGGAUAAAUUAGUCCCUAUAUGUUAGAUUAAAGAGUAAGCUAGACUUUCUGUUAAAAAUUUCAUCCAUUGCUACUGUUAAAAACUGGUGCAGUUGAUAAAAUAACCAAACAGUUACACAUAAUGUGUCACGUGUACCUCAUGCUAAUGUAUAUGGACCAAUUUUUAACAGUAGAAAUGGAUGGAACUUGUAACAGAAGGGCUGGUUUGCUUUUUAAUCUAAUUUACAGGGAUUAAUUUGCCCAUUUUUUUAGUAAAGGGGUGAAAUGCAAUAUGACUCCUAGUAUAAGGGCCUCCAUGGUACUUUUACCACUAUGACAUACUCUAUAAUGCUUGCCAUCCUGAUAUUUAGUAGCACCCCUUGAUAGCCUAUAUCGUAUACAAUGGUUAGUGUCCAACCUUUCACAAGCAGGAUCAACAUACCGCAUAGCCAAAAACAAAAUAAUUAUGAACUUGCAGGCAACAUCAGUUAUAGUAUAUCUGAAAAAGAUAAGGAAAAAAAACUGUUACUUUCAUAUCUAAUUUCUUUAUAGUAUUAGGACAAACUAAACAAUGGAUAUAUCACAUUAUUAAGACUUAGCUAAGGAGCCGCUGAUAUACAUUCAAAUGAUCAAUCAUAAAGGAUGAACUAGGAGGCCUAAUGAUAAAUCAAAAUUACACCUAAACCAGUUAUAUGUCUAAAGGCAAUUGCACAUUAUAUCAAUCAAACAACUAAAAUAAAUAGAGAAAAUCCUUUAAAAUAUUCAAUUUCUAAACAAAAUCAAACUCACAUCAAUAGCAGAUCUUGACAAAGAAACCCAAAAUCACAAAUGAUCCUAUCUUUUUAAAAGGGGAAAAAGAAAACUUACUAUAAGAGAGAUAACCAGCAUAGCCAGUAGUUCCAGUAACACCUGCAAUGAGUCCGUACUUGACAAAGCUCUAAAUUUUCCCUCCCGAAACCUGUGGGGCAACUUUCGGCGCCAGAGGAGGAGGUGUCGACUGAUCGGAGAGAAUGGAUUGUGAAGAACAAUCCAAACUUAAUUUACAAGCAAUGUGGAAAUUUUGGACGUUGCAGUAUUGACUACGUUUACUUGAGGGAAAACAAAGACAUGAAUGCUGGAAAUUUUAACUAGUUUGUACGGUCAAUGAAGCUACCUCGAAUGUUAAAUAUGUUACUCUGCAAUGCCAUUGUAAAUAUGACUGUUAAAUUUGUUGAUAGCGGAAUUGUUCCACUCAAGUUAUUGUGGGACAAAUCAAGAAUUUGAAGAAAAGUGACAUUGCAUGUUAAACAAGAGACCUCUCCAUUGAAACUAUUAUUUGAGAUCAGAAAGACAUUGAUUGUCGAAGCUGGAAUCGGAAGAUUUCCACGGAUCAAAUAGGAGCUUAAGUCAAGAACUACAAUAUUCUUCCAUGGAAAGUGCAAAACUUCUGUCAAAGAGUUGCUGUAAUUGGAUUAAUCUCAUCGUUGCUGCAAUCUUUUGACAAAUCGAAUCUUAAAUAUGUUACUCUGCAACGCUAUUGUAAAUGUUACUCUUAAAUAUUACUCUGUAACUAGAUUGAUGGCUCAAUCUUGUUUUUAACAUUGUUAUGGGUAUUACUACUUUCAUGCUUUGAUACGCGAUACCCUCUUUCUAGGUGACAUUUUUGCUCCUUCCGGGCCACCAUGGGCUCUCUGCAUCACUCACCAACCUCAUUAGAUUCCCCGGGUGCCAUUUGGCCAUCUCAAGUCUCAAAAUAGCAUCAAAAUGCACUCUAAUAAUUUAUUAAUAUAAAGAACUAAAACAAAAUAAAAACACAACAAAGAUAUCUAAAUUGCACGAAAAUAAGCUUUUAAGUGUGAUGGAGAGUCUAAUUUGACAUAUCAAUUAAUGUUUGACUAUCUCCAUCUCACUUUUUAUUAAUUAAGGAAUAUGAAUUAGAAUUAAUAUAAACUUACUAUUUUAACAUUUCAUAAGCAAAAGCUAAAAUAAUAUUGGUCACAUCCCAUAUCUUCAUAUAUAGCUUAUCAGACAAAAGUUAAAACAGCCUUCAGUUCAUCUACAUUCUACAUUCCACGUCGAAUCUGCAAGCAUCAAAUAUUAACCUUUGAACUCCAAAAUAACAACACCAAUUUCCAGCAAUUGCAGAAGAAUGUCCAAUAAUUCCACACAAAUUAACAACAAUUUGCCAGCAUCCACUACAUUCGUAUGAAUUCCACACAAAUUAAGACUGGAAACUCUAACUUGUUCAUACCCUCAAUGAAGCUACCUAAAAGUUAUGAAUUCCACUGCAAAUUUUGUAUUGCUUGGAAUGAAUUGACUGUAAUUUCCUAUUACUUGCCACAAAAUUUUCUUUUACUGCUAACUUGUAAAAAAAUUAUGAAAAUACAACAGAGAUCAUUGAGACAUUUUGUUCUCCUUUCUCCUUUACUGAGCAGUAGCAAAGAUUAUCGAGACUAAAUUGAAAGUCAUGAAAGAAGACAUAAACAACACCACCAUACAAAAUGUUACACUCAAACAAACCAUUACAGAUAGUACGAAAUGCAAUGAAAGACACAGGAAUUGGUACAACAAUAAAGACAGACACAUACCAAUGCAACCCUUCACCAUAGGCAAAACGGUCUACAGAAUAAGAAAUUAUGAAAAUACAACACUAAUUCUUGAACAUCAUUUCCAGUAAUUAGAUCCUUCUUCGUCUAUUGCUUCGAUUGCCUUUCUUUGACUUUCUUCUUCGCCUCAUCUCUUGUUGGUUUUCAACCAAAUUCACCAACCAUUUCGGCUUACCAAUUUGGAAAACAACAUAUCCCACGGACAUUCCGAACACCACUCUGCAUCCAUAACCUAUCAACACCACUUUCCAACCAAAAGCAAUGUUUGAUUUUGAGCCAUCUUUUUCAAGCGCAUUUGGAGGUGCUGGCUCAAUGAUGUUGCAACCUUUCGAGACCGGAAACCCACACAGUCCAUUAUUCCCUUCAUAUGAAUCAUUUCCAAAUGUGUUGAAUUGUUUUCCUUGAGGAAUCUGACCAUGGAGUUGAUUUUCAGCGACAUUGAAGGACGAAAGAAAUGGCAGAUCUGCCAAUCUAUUUGGAAUCGUCCCAGACAACCUGUUUGAAGAUAGGUCCAACCAUUCAAUACUUGUCAAAUUCCCUAUUGAUGUGGGAUACCACCAUUAAGGUUAUUAUGAGAAAGGUUGAGCCCUUUCAGUAAGUUAAGCUUCCCAAAAACCUUUGGAAUACCCCCUUCAAACUGAUUGUUUGAUAGAUCAAUGAUCAUCCACAUGGUGAAAAUUUUCACCAAUUCCAUAUAUUGUCCUUUCAUAACAGUUCCGAUGGAAUAGGUAUAGAAGCCAUUACCUCUCGGAACAUACAUCCCCAUGUACGACAUUGUACUCCCAAUCUUCUCUAGAUUUAUGAUACCCUUGAAGCUGUUGAUGUAUCUCACUGGUAGGGGUCCAGAAAAAUAAUUACUUGAGAGAAAAAAAAUUUGGAUUUUAGAGAAAAAAGGGCUAGACUUGGAGCUAUUGUCACAUAAGGAACCAUGCAUAUGAUUUGACUUCAAUACAAGAACUUGUAGCUGUGGAAGACUUCCCAACCAAUGAGGAAAUGUAUCAUUGAUCUUGUUCUUCUUCAGAUUCAAGAAUUGAAGGCUGUAGCUCAAAUUUUCAAAACAUUGCGGAAUUGUUCCGCUCAAGUUAUUGUGGGACAAAUCACGAAUUUGAAGAAAAGUGACAUUGCAUAUUAAAGAAGAGACCUCUCCAUUGAAACUAUUAUUUGAGAUCAGAAAGACAUUGAUCGUCGAAGCUGGAAUGGGAAGAUUUCCACGGAUCAAAUUGGAGCUUAAGUCAAGAACUGCAAUAUUCUUCCAUGGAAAGUGCUCAACUUCUGUCAAAGAGUUGUGAGAUACAUUUAAGUCAAAGAGCCAUUGCCCACCUCUUGCAUCCACUGUGGAAUCUUGCCUUCAAUUUUGUUGCAAGAGAGGUCCAAGCUUUCCAAACUUUUAAGCCCUUAUAAAAACUGGGGGAAUUCACUAAGAUUGAAAGAUGACAAACGUAAGUCUAUAAGAUUAGACAAUAUAUGGUUAACACAAGAAGUAGUAUUAAAUGUUAAGGAUAGGCUGUUAUAUGAAAGGUCGAGAAGUUUUAGAGUUGGAAGGUUUGAGAACAUGCGAAACUCUAUGACACCACUAAGAUUAUUUGAGGAUAAAAGGAGGUGGGUAAGAUUGAGAAGUUGGAAUAUUGAAGAUGGAAGAGGACCUUGGAGUUUAUUAUUGUUUAACCUUAUCAAUUCUAGUGUUUUGGAUUGGAAUUCUUUGAUAUGCCCACUGAAUUGUUUUUAGAGAGAUCUAUUGUUUAACCACGUUAUUUUUCAGUGACGGAUCGAGAAAUAAAACUUAGGGGGAGCAGGGGCGAAGUUAGAAAAUUAGUUUGGGGUAAUCGAAAUUAAAUUAUAUAUUUUUAUGAUAGUAAAAAUAGAAUUUCGUCAUUUUAAUAGCCUAUAUCUUUAUAAUUUUUAGAGGAUUAAAUUAAUUUUUUAUCAUUUGAGGGGGGCAAAGUGCAAUUUUACCGUUAUUAAUUUAAAAUUUUAUAAAUUAUAAAUGGCCUAAAUUUUAAAAAAAAAAUCAUUUUAGGGGGUUGAGACCCUGUCAGCCCUCUCCCUAGACCCACCCCUAGUCUUUUUGAUACAAUUUGGCAGUUUAAGUACUUAAUUAGUGCAAAAAAAAAAAAACUAGGGGCUCAAUAGCUUUUUUUUGAAAAAGUUUGAGAGCCUUUUUGAUCCAUUUUGGCAGUUCAAAUGCCCAAUUCAGUGCAAGAAAAGAAGUAGGGGCUUAAUUAUUUUUUUUUAAAAAAAGUUUGAGAGCCUUUUUACACCAUUGAACCUUUUUUAUACUAAUUGGUAGACGCGAAGUUAUAAAUAUUUAAUUGUUAAUGUAAUUUUUAGAAUUUCUAAAGAAUAAUAAUAUUUAAAAUCUUAUAAUUUUUUUUAUUUCAUGUGCAUAAAAAACUUAAAUAAAUAAGUGUUUAGAUUUAGAUUAAUCACGCUGUCCAUUUAUUCAUAUUCAUUCUAGAGGUAUAACUUUUAGUUAUUUUAUAUGUUUUUAUAAUUAAAAAUAAUGGUAUAAAAGUCGAUUAAGUUUUAGCUCAAUUGACAUAGACAUUGUUGUUGAGGAGGACCUAUUGGUAGUUCUAGGCAUUGUGUCAAAAUGAACUAUAUUUGAUAAGAACCUAUAAUGAAAUUAAUGUUAAAAAAAUAAUAGUAUAAAAAGCUAAUAUUUUUAUAAAAGUUUCAUUUUUUUUUCAGUUUUUGGAUUUUUCUCAUAUAAAAUUUUAGAAUUGUUUCUUGAAUUUUUAUAGCUUUUCUUAUUAUGAUGUUAUAUAAUUUUAGAUUUUUAUACAUCUUUAAUAUUUUUUUAGUUUUUUAUUGUUUCUCAAAUAAUGCUUGGUUGAUGUAGCUUGCCAAGUGGUAUCGUGUUAUUGGCUGUCAAUUUCAAUAAUAAAAAAAUUUGGAGUUGAUUAGUUAUGAACUAACUCGAUUAAUCAAUUCUAAAUUUAAGUACUAAUUAAGUCCAAAAAAAGUUCAAAUUUCAAUUCAUGCAAGUUGGAUGGCAAUGAAACGGGAUUGGGGUGCGAAUAUUGUCAAAUUCACUAUUGUUUCAUAGUUGAUGUGUUUUGUCCCAUCACUCACCCCCGCUCCACUAUGGAUGUUUAAUUUUGAAAACCACUCACCCCAUGGAUGUUGGAUGCAUCCAUCCCUGCUUCACGUCGUGCCAUUUCAAUUUAAUUUUUAUUAGUUUUUUUAAAAAUAUUUUCAAUUUUUUUUUAAUUUUAAAAUAUUUUCAAUCUUUUUAAAACUUAUAAAUAUUUAAACAUAAUUAUUCAAGAAAAACAUUUAAACAUAAAACAUAUGAGUUUUUUAUAACAUAUUUUUACCCUUUAAUAGUUAUAAAUAUACAAGGGUCGAAUAGUAAUUUCAAAUAGUGAAAUAGAGUGGAUUGGGACAAACAAUUACCAUAACUGCUACACUUAAUCAUCGUAAAAAAAAAAAAAAAAAAUCUAUUUCAUCCCCGCCCAUAUUCCCUUUUAAAAGGAUCUACUCUAAAUGAAACAAACCAAUUCAAAAUCCAUUUAACAUCCUAAAUUCUAAAACUAAUUUUGAUAUGAAGUCUCAAUUAAAUUCAAGUAAUAAGGUUUUUUGAUAUGGUUUACACUACUAACUUCUAUAUGAAAACAACAACCAUUUCCCAUGAUGUUUGCGGCUUACCAACAAAUCCUUGCAGAUUUUCAACGUAGAAGAAAAUCAUGAAAAUAAAAAAAAAAAAAAAAAAAAAACUCUGGUUGGGAUUUGUUUCAUAUGGAAAACAGAAAACAAAACUUAAGUUAGUCAAAAUUACCAACUCACUGCUGACAACAUUUUUGUUGUAACCAAACAUUUGGAAGAAAAUAAACACAAGAGCACGCCGUUGACCUGUAUUUCUUUUAUUCUUCAAUUCUAUUUCAUCUUUAAGCUGUAACCAAUGAUAAUCAAAUCUUGACUUGCAUAAAAACCAAAGAAAACAAAAUGAAUGCAGCAGAAUUUUCUACCACAAAUGAGUAGUAAUUUACAGAUAAUAAAAUUAUCGAAAAACUAUUGAGAGUCGAAUUUCAUAUUAAUUGUGGUAUCCAUGAACUAGAAUGUAUUAAAAAAAGAAGGAUAUUGACCUUGAGACUACUUGCAAUUUUCAAAAACACUCUCAAUUCCUCUCCCCCUCUUCGGGCACCGGCCCAAGAUCCUGCCAUUGGCUACCACGCCGGCCGCUAGUCGCCAGCGCCGGCGCCGUGCAUGGAGGAGGAGAGUCCAAAAAUAUCCUUUUUUUUUUCUCACAUGCAGAUCCUCGGCCUCCAAACACUCCGACGACGGCUACAAAGGUAAAAAGGCCUCUCAUUUUUUAUUUUUAUAAUGCUUCAAAAUAAAAAAAUAAAAAAAAGGGAAAAAAUCACCUUUAAAAAAAACUGAUUCCUGUUUUUUAUUUCUCUUUGUUUUUUUUUUUCCAAAAGAGAACUCCCUUAAUUUUUCAUCUUUUUUAGCCCUUAAACCUACGUUGUUUAUCAAUAACCUUAAACUUACAUUGUUUACCGGAUGAAAAAUUUAAUAUUUAUUAACUUUGCUAAGGUGCACAUAUGCAAUUUAUUUAAAUCUAAAAACUAUAAAAUAUCUUAAAAUUAAAACUAAAAGUUUUUAAACUACUUGAUUGCUCCUUUCUCCUUUACUGAGCAGUAGCAAAGAUAAUCGAGACUAAAUUGAAAUCCAUGAAAGAAGACAUAAAACACCUCCAUACAAAGUGUCACACUCAAACAAACCAUUACAGAUAGUACGAAAUGCAAUGAAAGACAGAGGAAUUGCUACAAUAACAAAGACAGACACAUACCAAUGCAACCCUUCACCAUAGGCAAAACAAGAAAUUAUGAAAAUACAACACUAGUUCUUGAACAUCAUUUGCAGUAAUUAGAUCCUUCUUCGUCCACUGCUGCGAUUGCCUUUCUUUGACUUUCUUCUUCGCCUCUUCUCAUGUUGGUUUUCAACCAAAUUCACCAACCAUUUCGGCUUUCCAGUUUGGAAAACAACAUAUCCCACCAGCAUUCCGAACACUACUCCGCAUCCAUAACCUAUCAACACCACUUUCCAUUCAAAAGCAAUGUUUGAUUUUGAGCCAUCUUUUUCAAGCACAUUUGGAGGUGCUGGCUCAAUGAUGUUGCAACCUUUCGAGACCGGAAAUCCACAUAGUCCCUUAUUUCCUUCAUAUGAAUCAUUUCCAAAUGUGUUGAAUUGUUUUCCUUGAGGAAUCUGACCAUGGAGUUGAUUUUCAGAAACAUUUAAGGACGAAAGAAAUGACAGAUCUGCCAAUCUAUUUGGAAUCGUCCCAGACAACCUGUUUGAAGAUAGGUCCAACCAUUCAAGACUUGUCAAACUCCCUAUUGAGGAGGGGAUAUCACCAUUAAGGUUAUUAUGAGAAAGGUUGAGCCCUUUCAGUAAGUUAAGCUUCCCAAUAACCUUUGGAAUACCCCCUUCAGACUGAUUGUUUGAUAGAUCAAUGAUCAUCCACAUGGUGAAAAUUUUCACCAAUUCCCUAUCUUGUCCUUUCAUGACAAUUCCAAUGGAAUAGGUAUAGAAGCCACUACCUCGAGAAUCAUUCACCCCCAUGUACGACACCGUACUACCAAUCUUUUCUAGAUUUAUGAUAGCCUUGAAGCUGUUGAUGUAUCUCACUGGUAGGGGUCCAGAAAAAUAAUUACUUGAGAGGUCAAAAAUUUGGAUUUUAGAGAAAAAAGGGCUAGACUUGGAGCUAUUGACACGCAAGGAACCAUGCAUAUGAUUUGACUUCAAAACAAGAACUUGCAAAAAUGGAAGACUUCCCAACCAAUGAGGAAAUGUAUCAUUGAUCUUGUUGUUACCAAGAUCUAGCACUUCCAGACCAUUACAAUUAAGGAUGGAUGGUGUCAAAGGCCCUUCUAACAGAUUUCCAUUUAAGUUGAAAUUAGUCAGUUGGCAUCCCUUUGCAAAUGUUAGAGGAAUCGUCCCAUAGAACUCGUUCUUCUUCAGAUUGAAGACUUGAAGGAUGUUGCUCAGAUUUCCAAAACAUUGCGGAAUUGUUCCACUCAAGUAAUUGUGGGACAAAUCAAGAAUUUGAAGAUAAGUGGCAUUGCAUAUUAAAGAAGAGACCUCUCCAUUGAAACUGUUAUUUGAGAUCAAAAAGACAUUGAUGGUCGAAGCUGGAAUCGGAAGAUUUCCACGGAUCAAAUUGGAGCUUAAGUCAAGAAAUUCAAUAUUCUUCCAUGGAAAGUGCUCAACUUCUGUCAAAGAGUUGUGAGAUACGUUUAAGUAAGUCAAAGAGUCAUUCCCCACCUCUUGCAUCCACUGUGGAAUCUUGCCUUCAAUUUUGUUGCAAGAGAGGUCUAACCUUUCCAAACUUUUAAGCCCUUUUAAAAACUGGGGGAAUUCACUAAGAUUGCAAGAUGACAAAAAUAAGCUUCUAAGAUUAACAGUAGAUGUAGUAUUAGAUGUUAAGUAUAGGCUGUUAAAUGAAAGGUCGAGAUAUUUUAGAUUUGGAAGGUUUGAGAACAUACGUAACUCUAUGACACCACUUAGAUUAUUUGAGGAUAAAACGAGCAAGGUAAGAUUGAGAAGUUGGAAUAUUGAAGAUGGAAAAGGACCUUGGAGUUUAUUAUUGUUUAGAUAUAAAUGUUCUAGUGAUUUGGAUUGGAAUUCUUGGAUAUGCCCACUGAAUUGAUUUUGAGAGAGAAUUAUAACCUUUAAGGAGGGAGCAGUAUACAACCAUGACGGAAGUGUUCCAUUGAGUAAAUUGUCAGAUAAGCCUAAAUAUAUUAGAUUAGGAAAAGUGGUUACCUCAUCUGGAAUGGAUCCUUCUAAAGAAUUUUCAGAUAUUCCCAAGUAUUCCAGCUGGGUUAGGUUUAGAAUUGACAAUGGAAUUUGUCCACUCAAUUGGUUCUGCGACAAGUCUAAAUGAGUGAGUUGCAAGAGGUUCCCCAAUGAUAUUGGAAUUUGUCCACUCAAUUGGUUCUGCCACAAGUUUAAAUCAGUGAGUUGCAAGAGGUUCCCCAAUGAUCUUGGAAUUUGUCCACUCAAUUGGUUCUGCCACAAGUCUAAAUCAGUGAGUUGCAAGAGGUUGCCCAAUGAUCUUGGAAUUUGUCCACUCAAUUGGUUCUGCCACAAGCCUAAAUUAGUGAGUUGCAAGAGGUUCCCCAAUGAUCUUGGAAUUUUUUCACUCAAUUGGUUCUGCCACAAGCCUAAAUGAGUGACUUGCAAGAGGUUCCCCAAUGAUCUUGGAAUUUUUCCACUCAAUUGGUUCUGCCACAAACCUAAAUCAGUGAGUUGCAAGAGAUUCCCCAAUGAUCUUGGAAUAUUUCCACUCAAUUGGUUCUGCCACAAGCCUAAAUGAGUGAGUUGCAAGAGGUUCCCCAAUGAUCUGCCACAAGCCUAAAUGAGUGAGUUGCAAGAGUUUCCCCAAUGAUCUUGGAAUUUGUCCACUCAAUUGGUUCUCACACAAGUCUAAAUAAGUGAGUUGCAAGAGGUUCUCCAAUGAUCUUGGAAUUUGUCCACUCAAUAGGUUCUGUGACAAGUCUAAAUAAGCGAGUUGCAAGAGGUUCCCCAGUGAUCUUGGACCCGGUCCUGAUAAGUUGGAAUGGGAGAGAUCUAAAACCUUCAAGGACACAAGAUUCCCCAUCCAGUCAGGCAAUCCUCCAAAAAAAUUUGCGCCUCCAAGAAUCAACUACUCCAAAGAUGAUAAAUUUGUGAAUGAGACAGACAAUCCUUGAAAGAAGGAAUUUCCUGAGAGAUCUAAGUACUUUAAGGCCUGUAGAUUAUCAACUGAAUCAAUGAAUUCUGUAGAGAAGGACACGAACGACAGAUCCAAAUGUUCAAGAUUGCUGCUCCGAUUGAACUUCAAAGGAUCAAGAUUGAGGUUUUGGUUGCCUCCCAAGUUGAGGAGAUUGAGGUUUGGCAAAUCAAAAAUGUUUUUUGGGAAUUUUCCUUGCAAAUCACAAAAAGCAAGACUGAGAGACCUUAGAGAAGAGGAUAGAUUCAUGAAGACAUGAGCAUUAACAGAAGACAUGUCCAUUCCAUCCAAAAACAGAUGUCUGACCUCGGUUAGGUUGUGAACAAGUCCCUCCAGAGCAUGUUUGUCAAUUGUUUGUGCAUCACCCCAACAGGAGAGAUCAAGUGAAACCAAUUUUGACAGGUGGGAGACUUGGGAUGGGACUUCUCCUGCAAACCCUGUAUUGGAAAGGUUGAGGUAGAAUAGGCUUGUAAACCGACCUAAGUCGGAUGGAAUUUUGGAAAGAUUAAAAUCAUUGAAGGCAAGGUUGAGUUUUUGAAGGUGAGGAAGAAGGAAGAGAGUGGUAUUGGAAGGGAAGUUGCCAGAUAGCCAACUGCAGCUCAAGUCAAGGGCAAUAACAUGAGCAUUUAGGUGGUCACAAGUGACCCCAUCCCAUGAGCAGCAAUCUGUACCCUCCUUCCAUGAAUUUGUCUUGGGAUAAGAUUUAGGGCCGCAAGACGAAUAAGCAGCCUCUGUUAUGGAAAAAGAGUUCUUGAACUGGAUUAGUAAAGAGCAGGAGUGAGAUCCUGAAGAAGAAAAAGAAGCAUAAAGAUGGGGAAAGAAGAGGAAUAGGCAGAGAAAGAGACAGGGGGGCAUGUUAUGUUUGUAGAGGAAGAUGAAGGAUAGGAAUGGUAUUUAUAGGCAACAAAUAAUACAACAACAUUGGUGUUACAGUCUUUUUUAUUUUCUCGAGUUCUAUGAGUUUGUUUAAAUUCGCCGUGAAUACUCGAUUUUUUUUUACGUUUUUGAUUCAAAUACCGCUAAAAACAUUAAUCGGUUGCCAUUAAAUAUGUCAUUUUCUAUUAGCUGCAAGAAAACUAUCCGAUAAACUGCAUCUUCUUCUUUAGAUGAAAUUUUGUAAAAAAAAUUUGACAUUAUCUCUUAUAUGGUCCUUCAAUUUUAUUUAAAAAAUGAUUUUAACUCUCCAUUUAAUUUUUCAAACAAAUUAACGCAACAUUUUAGUUAUUGUCUACUGUCCAAUAAUGCCAUGUGUAUCAGUACAAACAUUCCCAUUUCUUUUUUUUUUUUUUCAUUUUCCCAAAAACUCAUUUCACUCUUAGCUUUAUAAAGAAAAAAAAAGUUAUUUUAGCCCUUAAUUUAAUUUUUCAUCUUCUUUAACCCUUAAACUUAUAUUGUUUAUCAAAUAACCCUUAAACUUGCAUUGUUUAUCAGAUGAAAAAAUUAAUAUCUAUUAACUUUGCUAACGUGCAUACAUAUGCAACCUCAUUUAAAUCUAAAAAAUAUAAAAAUAAUUAAAUAUGUAUAAAUCUAAAAAUAUCUUAAAAUUAAAACUAAAAUUUUUUAAACUAAUACAAAUUUUUAUUAUUUAAAAAAUCUUAAAAUUUUCAAAUUAAAUUCCAUUUGUUUUCCACCAUUGAAGAACACCUUCAAUCACAUCAACAACUUCAUACUAUUUUGCCUAGAAAUUGUUUUGCAAAUUUAUUUUGUUUAUUUAUUUCUAAACCCAUAUUUCUUUUCUAUAACCCCAAUGGUAGCAAAGGAAAUGUAAAAAAAAAAAAACUUAAAAAUCAAAUUUUUAAUGAUGAAGGGAAUUGAUUUAUAUUAAAACCAAGGAUUACACUGAAAAUACAAAGAGUUGAAGGUACUAAACAAGCAAAUAAACCCUAGCUACAGUGAUAAUUAACUUAACUAUCUACUAUUGGAACCAAGAAAAACUAAAAGAAAACAUGAAUUAAACCCUAGAGUUAUGAAGAAGAAAACAAAAACUCUAAAAAUAAAGAGAAAAAUUGAAAACCGUGAAAUGUUAAGUGUGCCCUUUGUUCAGCCAAUUUUUUGCCCUUUCUAGCAAAUUACAGAUCCAAAAAUAGUGACCAAAUUGUCUUUGAUGGUCUAAUUUUGGUUAGGGGGAAAAGGAUUACCCCUACGGUUAUUUUUUUGUCUCCUCCCAUCAAUGAUAUUGCGAUACCCAAAGUUUGGUAUCGCGAUAUCCACGACAGUCUUGAGGAUCCUUGGGAGUUUUGGGUAUCGCGAUACCUUAUGACCGUUAUCACGAUAACACUGUUGAUAUGCGGUACCCUCUUUCUAGGUGACAUUUUCGAUCCUUCUGAGCCACCAUGGGAUCUCUGCAUCACUCAUCAACCUCAUCAGAUUCCUCGGAUGCCAUUUGGCCAUCUCAGAUCUCAAAAUAGUAUCAAAAUGGACACUAAUCAUUUAUUAGUAUAAAGAACUAAAACUAAAUAAAAAAACGACAAAGAUAUCUAAAUUGCUUGAAAAUAAGUUUUUAAGUGUGAUGGAGAGCCUAAUUUGACAUAUCAAUUUACAACAGAUUAUAAACAUAAUUUGCGGAACCUUGUUAAAAUUUUGAUUUUCUUUAUUAGUUUCUUUCAAUAUUCUGUACGGUACAUUUGUAGUAAUAUAUUGUGCAGAUCAUAGACUACAUUGCUUUAUUAGUGUUCUAUUGUUAAUCUAUUAUUAUUAUUAUUAUUAUUAUUAUUAGCACCACUUCCUUUUUACCAUAUAAUUUUUAUUCAUAAAAAUGAAGAGUUGAUUUACUAAAGAAAGAAGAAGAAUUGAUGAGAUUAUAAAGUAUAUUGACUUGGUCUUGCUUCCUUUAUAUGUAUGAAUGUGGAAAUCGGCAUAAUGCCAACUUAUUUUCCACGCAGAGGAAGAAAAUGGUGCUCUCUUGUCACUCCCUUUAACUUGACAAAAUACAAGACAUGUGAUCCACCAAUGAAUGUUUGACUAUCUCCAUCUCACUUUUUAUUAAUCAAGGAAUAUAAACUUACUAUUUCAACAUUUCAUAAGCAAAAGCUAAAAUAAUAUUGGUCACAUCCCAUAUCUUCAUAAGACAAAAGUUAAAACAGCCUUCAGUUCAUCUACAUUCUACAUUCAUAUCAAUUGCACACAAAGUCAUAUCUGCAAGCAUCAAAUAUUAACCUUUCAACUCCAUAAUAACAACACCAAUUUCUAACAAUUGCAGAAGAAUGUCCAAUCAUUCCACACAAAUUAACAACAAUUUGUAGCAUCCACUACAUUCAUAUCAAUUCCACACAAAUUAAGACUGCAAUUUCUAACUUGUUUAUACCCUCAAUGAAGCUACCUAAAAGAUAUGAAUUUUUUAAUAUUAUAAAGUUAAGUGACCAAAACAUAAAUUUUCUACUAGAUUAGUACUUGAGGUGUAGUUUACCUUAUAAUAAAUAACUAUAAUAAAUUUGUGAAUCAAUUGCAUAAUUAAAUUAAGAUUUUCAAGCCUUUUACCAAACCAAACUUGAAAGGAGAAAAAGAAUCAUGAAAGAAUCCAGUUUUAAAAGCCUUUCACUUUUCCCAAGUCCAAUACACAAAUUCACAAGAUCCCACACUCUCAUUUAUCCUCUUCAAAAAGCAAGGUCCACAACAAAAGAUUAAUUUAGAUAUUAAUUAUUUUAUUUUAAUGGGAUAUAAUUUGAUAUUUUGUUUUUAUUUUAAUUAAGUGUGUUUAAAUUAGUGAUAUUUGUUAUAAUAAUUAAGUUAUACAUUCGGGAAGGUUGAUAAUAAUGUUCACACCAUAGAUGUUGUGAAGAGCCACUAAAAGUGACAAUUUAUCUAUGCUAAAAAGGUGUUUGAAUAGAGUAAUAUUGGACAAUGUCCUACCUCAAGACCCAAAAGGGAUGCCAAUUUAAGACCCAAGGAAGCCUUCGACUUAUCUCACUUGUGUAAGGAGCUAGAGUUAUCUCUUUACUAUUAACAACAUAAUUAAUCAUAUUCUAUAAUUCACCUUUAAGGUGUCUUAUUCACUUGUUUAGGUCAACUAUACCAAAUUCAGCAUUUUAUUUCGCCAAACCAAAAUUGUCAUUUGCCAUAUAGGGAUCGCCAAGCCUAUAAAAGCCAAAAUCUUUUCAAAGAUUUGCCUCGUUUAGCUCGAUUCUUCAAUUUAUCUUCUCAAUCUCAAUUAUUAACGUUUGUCUCUCUAACUUGCCUCCUCAAAUUUAAUCAUUAAAACUAAAUGCAUUACGUGCUCACCAUACUACAAGAACAUAAACUUAUUUAUUUCAAGAGGAUCACUUUAUAAAUUUCCAUCAAUUAGGGAAAAAUUAUUAUACCUCUAUAAGUAUAUUUUAAAAUAUGGCGAUAUUUCAAGAUAGCACCUAUCACAUUUCAAUAAAACUCAUUAUAUAUCUACCACCAUCAUAAUUAAGUAAUAGAGCAUCAUUCUAUAUGGACACACAUCAAGCUCAUUUCCUUUUAUGUUAAUUAUUCACGUAAUUCUAAUUUUCAAUUAUUUCCUUAAAUAUUAAAAAUAACUACUCUGUUAAUGCCAUGUAGCUAUUUUGAUUAAUGAUUUCCAUUUAAUUUGUUUUCCUCCUGACUUGGAAAUGUGGACUUGACAACAAAAUGAAAUUUGAGCAUGACACCUUAAUUUUGUGGUUGGUUUGACGAAUACUGAAGGUUGGUCAUCUUGAAACAUAUAUAAAAUUAAAUGAUUGAAUUAUUGAAAUUAUUAAAUAAAAUAAUUAUGAAAUUAGAAUUUAAGGUUAGAGGUUAUUUUUAGAAUUUUAAAUUUUCUUUUACUGCUAACUUGUAAAAAAAUUAUGAAAAUACAACAGAGAUCAUUGACACAUUUUGUUCUCCUUUCUCCUUUACUGAGCAGUAGCAAAGAUUAUCGAGACUAAAUUGAAAGUCAUGAAAGAAGACAUAAACAACACCACCAUACAAAAUGUUACAUUCAAACAAACCAUUACAGAUAGCACGAAAUGCAAUGAAAGGCAGAGGAAUUGGUACGAUAAUAAAGACAGACACGUACCAAUGCAACCCUUCACCAUAGGCAAAACGGUCUACAGAACAAUAAAUUAUGAAAAUACAACACUAAUUCUUCAACAUCAUUUGCUGUAAUUAGAUCCUUCUUCGUCUAUUGCUCCGAUUGCCUUUCUUUGACUUUCUUCUUCGCCUCUUCUCUUGUUGGUUUUCAACCAAAUUCACCAACCAUUUCGGCUUACCAGUUUGGAAAACAACAUAUCCCACCGACAUUCCGAACACCACUCCGCAUCCAUAACCUAUCAACACCACUUUCUAACCAAAAUCAAUGUUUGAUUUUGAGCCAUCUGUUUCAAGCACAUUUGGAGGUGCUGGCUCAAUGAUGUUGCAACCUUUCGAGACCGGAAACCCACAUAGUCCCUUAUUCACUUCAUAUGAAUCAUUUCCAAAUGUGUUGAAUUGUUUUCCUUGAGGAAUCUGACCAUGGAGUUGAUUUUCAGAAACAUUGAAGGACGAAAGAUACUGCAGAUCUGCCAAUCCAUUUGGAAUCGUCCCAGACAACCUGUUUGAAGAUAGGUCCAACCAUUCACAACUGGAUUAGUGAAGAGCAGGAGUACUGAGAUCCUGAAGAAGCAUAAAGAUGGGGAAAGAAGAGGAAUAGGCAGAGGAAGAGAUAGGGGGCCAUGUUAUGUUUGUGGAGGAAGAUGAAGGAUAGGAAUGGUAUUUAUAGGCAACAAAUAAUACCACAGUGUUACAGUCUUUUUUUCUUUUACGUUGAGAAGCUAUAGACAUUAGAUUUUCAAAAUUUUUGUAUUUUUCACAAUCAUCAACAACGACUUAGUCUUCUUUUUACCAUAUAUUUUUCAUUCUUAAAAUUGGAUAUUAGAUUUUCAAAAUAUUUGUAUUUUUCACAAUCAUCAGCAAAAUCUUGUAUUUCGUUUGAACUGUCUAAACAACUAAAAAAAUUAAGAUUGAUGAGAGUACAAAGUAGAUUGACUUAGUCUUUUUUCUCAUAACCCUUAAAGAAUGUGUGUAUCUAUUCACUUGCAGGUCAACCAAAGCUAAUUAAUGUGGAAAUUCUUUUUCACAACAAAAUUGUACUCUAUUCACUACGUUUGAGGAAGAAGACUGUUGGAAAUUUAAUCCACCGAUUCCAUAAAAACGUGUAUACUUAUAUAUAUAUAUAUAUAUAUGUAUAACCUCAUAUAAAAUCUGAUAAAUUUAUUUGGGAAUAGUUAUUUUUCAUUCGUUAAUUAUUUCUCUUUUAAUCAAGUAAAAAAAUUAAAACUAAAAAGACAUUAUGAUUUAUUUGGCAUUUUUUAACUUCACAAAUAAAACGUCAUUUUAACUUUCUAUUCUUUUUUUUAUCUCUUUUAGCCUUGAAACUUAUAUGGUUCGUUAAAUCACUCAUUGAUGACAUAUUAACCUUUGAGUUAAACUCAAAUUGCUCUUCUCUUUGUUAUAAAUUAAGAGUAUAACUAAUUUUGAUAAAAAUGGUUACUUUUCAUUAACUUAGUUUAAAGGACUAUAACACGUAAAGUUUGGUCUAUUGCAGAAUUCACAUGUAAUGUGGGACAUUUUUUAACUUUACAAACAAAAAGUCAUUUGCGCCACAAUGUACAAUACUUCCACACCAUCUGCAGUAUUGCUACGUUUACUUGAGGGAAAACAAAGACAUGAAUGCUGGAAAUUUUAACUAGUUUGUACCGUCAAUAAAGCUACCUACCUAAAAGCCAUUUAGGAUAUCAAUUCCUGUAAUUGGAUUAAUCUCAUCGUUGCUGCAAUCUUUUGACAGUGUAAUCCAAUCUUAAAUAUGUUACUCUGCAGUGCUAUCGUAAAUAUUACUCUUAAAAUUGUGGAUAGAUAUAUAGGUUUGGCACAAAAUUAAGAAUACACAAAGGCAGGAUGAAUCAUUCCAUGUUUGAACAUCUGCAACAUAAAUGCAUAUGGCAAAAGGGCUCAAACCAUACCUUAUGUUCAUGAUGUUAACAUUAAUGGGAGACAACAUUAAUGGCAAACAAUACAAAGUGGUGCAAGUUUAGCACCCUAAAGUUGACUUUGAAAAAGUGGCAUGGGAUAAAUUUUUUUGGUCCUUGAGAUAAUGGGCUAUUUAUUGUUUGGUCCUUAAACUUCAACUAUAAAUAGGCCUUCUCAUUUCUCAUUUCAAUUCAUCCCAACCAAUCUUUCUCUCUUAGUUUUCUCUCUUCUCCCAUUUGAGAAUUCUUAAGGAAUUCAAUUUGUUUGUAAUACUUUGGAGAUAGUAAAGUUAUCAUCUGGUGUUAGUGCCCGAGGACGUAGGUAUAAUUUACCGAACCUCGUUAAAACUCUUGUGUUCUUUCUUGUCCUAUUUUUCUUUCAAUAUUUGAGGGUAUAAUAGUAGUAUUUAAUUGUGCUAUUAAAUUACUAUAGAAGGGAUAUUCUGUCUAAGGAAAGACUUGGUAUUUAAGAGAUCCAUGUGAUCCACCUCUCUUCCCUGGGAAUUGAACUUUGUGUGAUUUUUUAGUACAAUAAUUUACACGCUUCCGACCCUAUUGGAACAAUACAUGAAUUCUCAUCAUCACGUGUUUAUAAAUGCAACUCAAACUUCAAUAAUUGAAUCUUUUGUAAUUCUACAUGUAUUUUUUUUUAUGGUGAGCAGUAUAAUAUUUACUAAAAAUUGAAAUUCAAGAAAGAAGCCAUACAUAGUUGCACCAUACAAGAUGUUACACUCGAACUAAACCCUUACAAAUAGUACAAAAUGCAAUGAAAUACAGAGGAAUUGGUACAAUCAUAAAGACAGACACAUACCAAUGCAACUUUUCACCAUAGGAAAAACUUUCUGACAGACUACUAAACAAGAAAUUAUGAAGACACAGCAGAAAGGCUUUAACUUCAUUUGCACCAACUAUAUCCUUCUUCAUCCAUUGAUGCGAUUGCUAUAUUUUGGUUUUCUUCUUCGCCUCUUCUCAUGUUGGUCUUCAACCAAAUUCACAAUCCUUUUCGCUUCUUCUGAGCCACCAUGGGCUCUCUGCAUCACUCACCAACCUCAUCAGAUUCGCCGGGUGCCAUUUGGCCAUCUCAGGUCUCAAAAUAGUAUCAAAAUGCACACUAAUCAUUUAUUAAUAUAAAGAACAAAAACUAAAUAAAAAAACAACAAAGAUAUCUAAAUUGCUUGAAAAUAAGCUUUUAAGUGUGAUGGAGAGCCUCAUUUAACAUAUCAAUUUAUAGUAGAUCAUAAACAUAAUUUGCGGAACAUUGUUAAAAUUUCGAAUUUCUUUAUUAGUUUUCUUUCAAUAUUCUGUAUGGUACAUUUGUAGUAAUAUAUUGUGCUGAUCAUAGACUACAUUGCUUUAUUAAUGUUCUAUUGUUAAUCUUUUAUUAUUAUUAUUAUUAUUAUUAACACCACUUCCAUUUUAUCAUAUAAUUUUUUUUCAUAAAAAUGAAGAGUUGAUUUACCAAAAAAUUGUAUUUCAUUUGAACUCCCUAAAGAAAGAAGAAGUGAUGAGAUUAGAAAGUAUAUUGACUAGGUCUUGCUUCCUUUAUAUGUAUGAAUGUGGAAUUUGGCAUAAUGCCAACUUAUUUUCCACGCAGAAGAAAAUGGUGCUCCAUCCACUCUGUUUAACUUGACAAAAUACAAGACAUGUGAUCCACCAAUGAAUGUUUGACUAUCUCCAUCUCACUUUUUAUUAAUCAAGGAAUAAAAACUUAACAUUUCAACAUUUCAUAAGCAAAAGCUAAAAUAUUGACCUUUGAACUCCAUAAUAACAUAAGUUAAAACAAAAGUUAAAACAGCCUUCAGUUCAUCUACAUUCCACAUCAAAUCUGCAAGCAUCAAAUAUUGACCUUUGAACUCCAUAAUAACAACACCAAUUUCUAACAAUUCCAGAAGAAUGUCCAGUAACUCCACACAAAUUAACAACAAUUUGCAGCAUCCACUACAUUCAUAUCAAUUCCACACAAAUUAAGACUGCUUGUUUAUAAAGCUACCUACUGCAAAUUUUGUAUUGCUUGCAAUGAAUUGACCGUCAUUUUCUAUUACUUGCCACAAAAUUGGAAUUCUGAUAAGUUUAAUUUGGAAUAUGAUCAAUUUUGGUUAAAUUGGAGUGAAUAUUACUAUUUCUGUUUUAGCAAUUAAAGCAACCUAUAUGUACCCUUUUACACUCUGCAUUGUUCCAUGUUUCAAUUCAUUACAUCAUUCCUUCAACUCUGCUAUAUAUUAUCACCGUCUCCACAUAACCAAACCUUUUACUGCUAACUUGUAAAAAAAUUAUGAAAAUACUGUCGAAACCAUUUUUUUAUUUGAAAAAUGAGAGUCGACUUUAAGAAACAAAAAUGAGAGUCGCUACCAAUCUUUUUUGAGGUGUGAUCAUAUGCGCAAGAAAAUUUGCUCUCACUUACUCUCGAAAUUUACAGUAGGGGCUUAGGCUACCAAUAAAUUCUCAAUUAGAUAAUGAAUCAUCUACGAGCAACGAUUCCAAACCACAAUGAAUUGAGAGCUCAAACUAGCUCUUCCUCUAACUCAUAGAAGGCUCUAAUGAAUCCGAGGCUUCACACAUGACAAUCACACAAUACUCACAAUCAAAUGACAGCCAAGGACCCACUUAAACUAACCAAAACACAAGCCUAAGCUACCUUCUCAUGUAACCAAACCCUUUAGCAUGAUGAAAUUAAAAUGCAAAUAUAUUGAUCUACACUUAACAUUUUCACAAGAAACAAGUUUCAUUCAUCGCCAUAUUCAUCUAUAACUAAACUCCAACCUUUAAACCACACAAAACUAUACAUUUCAAGGUAUCGACAUUUUUCGACAAGUUUUGGCUAUAAUAAUGAAAAUUCAUUAAAACACGAGAAAUCUUUAAUAGAACUUAGAAGUAAUUUUAGAAACCUUCUAAUCAAGUUAAAACAAGUUGAAAAACACUUUUAAAUCACAUUUUUAUCCACAAUCUCAAAUUCCACUAUUAAUGACCCAAUUUUUGGGUUUUAAUUAAAACAUGUCAAUUUUAAAAUCUAAAUAACAUUAAAAAUUAAUGGUAAAGUAAAUGGUUACUUUUGAUGGGAGAUUAAUUGAGUUUUGACGUAAAUUUGAAAAACGAAGAAGAUGAUGAAAUCUAUGGCAUUUUUGAGUGUUUUUCUUAGAGAUUUAUGAAGGUAAUUGACUUGGGAGUUAUAAGAAAUCAAAGUAUUAUUGUUUGGGAAUAAAAUAAAUAAAUUGAAAGAUGAAGGGAAUAGCAAAGGACGGCAAUAGCAAACUUUGGAGAGUAACCAUCGUGAAAUAGAACUGGGAUUGGGGUUUAUUAGGUUCAAUUUUAAAAAUUGGUAAAACUGCAAUAUAAGUGCUCACUAUUUUAACUUUGUUACAAAUUAUUCCUUUUUUUCUAAAAUUUAGAAAUUUAAAACUCAUUUUCAGAAAUUGACUCCAUUCCCUAAUAGCCAUUGUAGAAAACAUUAUCAAAUACUAACCUUAAGAAAUUUGAGCGCAUAUAGGCUAAAAUUCCUAAAAUACACUCGAAAUUCUUAGACCCUAUUUUGGAGUGUUACACACAUGGUCAUGAUUCAUGUUGAAUUAAUCCAUCAUUCACCGUAAUAAGACUUGUCAUUGUAAUAAUUUAUUUUGAUACGUAUUAUUUUAUGAUGCAUAAACAUCAUAAAAUUUUCUAUUAUGCAAUAAUAGAAUUAGUUAAAUCAUCUAAUAUCUAAAAAAUUAUUAUUAUUUUAAUAAAAUCAUUCAUCAAAUUCCUGUUUUCAAAUUUCAUACAUGAAAUUAACAAAUAAAGAUAGCUCUAAAUAGCAAAACAUGGUAGGAUGGUUUUGUUGUGCAAACUUAGGAUUUCAAUUCUCAUCAAGGAACUUGCAAGCCUAUUAUAGUAGAAAUGUUCUAUCCAAAUGAUAAAGAUGUUGAUGCAACAUUUUAGAUUGCAAAUUCCUUGAUCACAUUUGGAAUCCUAAGCACAGGGACUUGCAAGCCUCUUAGCUCCAGGAACUUUAGAUUGUACCUGUUCAAAACAUUUUUCAAAGAAGGAACCAUAGGCGUCUAUUCUGGUUCAUCUCAUUGAAUACAUCAAAUGGAGGAUCAAUACGCUGAAAAAGGGACAACGGAAAGAACUUUAGCCAAUAACUUGAAUUUUAUAACUACUCCUAUGCCAACCAGCAAACCAUAACAACACAAAUGUUUGUUCUGUUAAGGAACAAUACACAGACAUAUUCACCUACCCUUGGUGCUGACAGAAUAUGCCCAUUCACUUGGGUGAAAUUAGAGUUGAUAUUAACCCCACAAGAUUUCUGCACCAUAAUUACUGCUAAGUAAAACCUGCACAUCAAUUUUCAUUCUUCACUAGAAACUGAAUCUAUUUUUGUAAGUAAAAAUUAGUUGUAUUCAUUGUUCACAUAAUUGAUCUUUUGUUGUGGAAGUAUUGUAUUUCCGGUAAUCCAUUAAGUAUUCAGUGUUUGAUGCAAUAGAUUUGUAUUUUAUUAUUUUAUUUUGUGGAAGGAUCCUUUAUCUAUUUUGUUUUUUACAUUUCUGAUAAGUUUACAUUUUUCAGUAAUUAACUUAUGUUGUUUUUGCCAAACUUUGUAGCGUUUCACUUUUGGUAAAAUUUCAUCCUUGGUCCCUUUAAACUCCUUUUUGCUUUAAUUUGAUUGCUUUCUAGCGUUGCAAAUUACAUGACACUCUUCAAAUGUCUUACUAAAUUCUCACUUCUACGAGUGCUAUGAUAAUCAAAUAAAGUUCAAUUCAAUUUUAAGUUCCAUACAACACUUACAAGGCUACAAAAUGUGUCCUCAACCACAAACAAUCCAAAUUUGCAGAGAAACCACCCAUUAUAUAUAGGUUUGCCAAUGAGAUGGCAAGCAGACUGCUAGCUAGAAAUUCAUGCAUCUUUGAAUCACCAAUUCAAUUAAUAAGCUUAACUAGAGGAAAUAAGGACUUUACAUCCACCAAUUAAAGCAACCUAUAUGUACCCUUUUACAGUCUUCAUUGUUCCAUAUUUCAAUUCAUUACAUCAUUCCUUCAAUUCUGCUAUAUAUUAUUACCGUCUCCAGAUAACCAAACCUUUUACUGCGAACUUGUAAAAUAAUUAUGAAAAUACAACAGAGAUCAUUGAGACAUUGUUGAAGCUGGCUUGGAUGAAUGCCAAGCUGUCCGAGCCAUGCAAGUCGCGGCUGAAGCUUAUGCUGCUGUUUUGCUACUUUCAAAUAGAUAUUUUAUUACUUAGUUAGAUAUGAACUAAGUUUUUGAUAUGCUUGAUGUACUUAGGUGCUGAUAGAUUGAUAAAUCAGCUUUACCAAGUGUACAAGCAAUGUUUAUAAAAGAAUAAUAUUACAUAACUAAACUAAAUAACUAAAUUAAAUAAUAUUAUAAAGUUAAGAGACCAAAACAUAAAUUUUCUAAUAGAUUAGUACUUGAGGUGUAGUUUACCUUAUAAUAAAUAACUAAACUAAAUUUGUGAAUCAAUUGCAUAAUUAAAUUAAGAUUUUCAAGCCUUUUGUGAUUGGUAUUGGACCAAACCAAACUUGAAAGGAGAAAAAGAUUCAUGAAACAAUCCACUUUUAAAAGCCUUUCACUUUUCCCAAGUCCAAUACACAAAUUCACAAGAUCCCACGCUUUCAUUUAUCCUCUUCAGAAAGCAAGGUCCACAACAAGAGAUUAAUUUAGAUAUUAAUUAUUUUAUUUUAAUGGGAUAUAAUUUGAUAUUUUGUUUUUAUUUUAACUAAGUGAGUUUAAAUUAAUGAUAUUUGUUAUAAUAAUUAAGUUACACAUUCGGGAAGGUUGAUAAUAAUGUUCACACCAUAGAUGUUGUGAAGAGCCACUAAAAGUGACAAUUUAUCUAUGCUGAAAAGGUGUUUGAAUAGGAGUAUUGGACAACGUCCUACCUCAAGACUCAAAAGGGAUGCCAAUUUAAGAUCCAAGGAAGCCUUUGACUUAUCUCACUUGUGUAAGGAGCUACAGUUAUCUCUUUACUAUUAACAACAUAAUCAUAUUCUAUAAUUCACCUUUAAGGUGUCUUAUUCACUUGCUUAGGUCAACUAUACCAAAUUCACCUUUAAAGCAUUUUAUUUCGCCAAACCAAAAUUGUCAUUUGCCAUAUAGGGAUCGCCAAGCCUGCAAAAGCCAAAAUCUUUUCAAAGAUUUGCCUCGUUUAGCUUGAUUCUUCAAUUUAUCUUCUCAAUCUCAAUUAUUAACGUUGUCUCUCCAACUUGCCUCCUCAAAUUUAAUCAUCAAACGUGCAUUACGUGCUCACCAUACUACAAGAACAUAAACUUAUUUAUUUUCAAGAGGAUCACUUUAUAAAUUUUCAUCAAUUAGGGAAAAAUUAUUAUACCUCUAUAACUAUAUUUUAAAAUAUGGCGAUAUUUCAAGAUACCACCUAUCACAUUUCAAUAAAACUCGUUAUAUUUCUACCACCAUCAUAAUUAAGUAAUAGGGCAUCAUUCUAUAUGGACACACAUUAAGCUCAUUUCCUUUUAUGUAAAGUCCUCUACAUAACUUAAAAGGGAUGGAAAACAUAGAGCAAAACUCUAUAUAUCCAUUCUCUCCUAAAGCUUUCAACUCACUCUUAACAAUACUACCACUACCAUGUGAAUCACCCUUAACUGUUAACCUUUUAAAAAUAACUACUCUGUUAAUGCCAUGUAGCUAUUUUGAUUAAUGAUUUCGUUUAAUUUGUUUUCCUCCUGACUUGGAAAUGUCGACUUGACAACAAAAUGAAAUUUGCGCAUGACACCUUAAUUUUGUGGUUGGUUUUGUUGGAAUAUUUUCAAAUAUUUAUAGUAUCCCAAUAACUAUAAAUGAAUGGGUGUAAUUAAUCAAAAGAUAAAACUUUUGGUCAUUGGUCAAAAGUUAUAUCAUUUGAUUUUUUAAAAAAGAAUUAUAACUAUUCAAAAAAUAUUAUUUGAAUAGUUACAAAAUUAAAUGAAUAAUUAUUAUUAUUUAUUUAUUCAUAAAGACACCUAUUGAAAGAUGUCUCUAUGAAGAGACAUGAAAAUUCCUAUAAAUAGGAAUAGGAUUUCAUUUGGAAAUCAUAUCAACAAAUUCUAAUAUUAUUUCUUCUCUUCCUUCAUUUUCUAAUAUUAUUAGAUUAUUCUAUAAAGUAUUGCUGCAGAAAUCCUUUGUAGAAAUUGAGUUUUUGUUAUACAUUACUCAGUGCAUAGUGGACUAUUCUCGUCAGUGCAAAACGCAAAUAGUCAUUGGCUUCAUUGUAUCCUCGAGGUUAAUUUGCUUGGAACUCGUUUGCACACUGAAGAUAAGUGGAGGCGAAUAUAACCUUAAAGAUAGUGGCUUGAUACACGCCUUGGAGCCUGUCCUAUUUCUUCUUUUUCUUUUCGAGUUCCGAUCGUGUGUUCAAGUUUUUUUCUUACCGGAGUUUUGUACUAACAAUUUUAAGGUUAUAUUUCAUGAUGACUACCACAACACAUGAAAGUGGAACACUAAGGGAGUUGGCUUCCAACUUUGUUAAACUUGAUCGUUUUGAUGGUGGCAAUUUUCGACGAUGGCAGAAAAAGAUGCACUUUUUGUUAUCAACUUUGAAUAUUGCUUAUGUUUUGGAUACUCCAAGACCUGAAGAGAAUGAAAAUGAAUCUGUUGCUGCAACCCGAGAAAGACAAAAAUGGGACAAUGCUGAUUACAUGUGCAUGGGCCACAUAUUGAAUGGUUUAUCUGAUGGUUUGUUCGACACCUACCAAAACGACGUCACCGCUAAAGAAUUAUGGGACAAAUUGGAGGCAAGAUACAUGACCGAAGAUGUUACAAGUAAGAAAUUUCUUGUCAGUCGUUUCAAUAAUUAUCAAAUGGUUGAUGGUCGUUCUGUUAUGGAACAAUUUCGUGAUAUUGAAAAGAUGCUGAAUCAAUUUAAGCAAUAUGAUAUGAAAAUGGAUGAAAUGAUUGUGGUAUCCUCCAUAAUAGACAAACUUCCUCCAUCUUGGAAAGACUUUAAAAGAAGUCUAAAACAUAAGAAAGAGGAAAUAUCUCUUGAGGCUUUGGCAAAUCAUCUUCGUAUUGAAGAAGAGUAUCAAAAACAAGAUCAGAACCUAAAUUCUAAAAAUGCCGAAGUACAUGUUAUGGAGGAAGUACAGACUACUAAACCAUUCAAGAGAAAGUUCAAUCAGACUGAUAGAGCACCUAAGUUCAAAAAGAAACAAAAGGGCUCAUGCUAUCAUUGUGGAAAGCCGGGACAUUUCAAGAAUGAAUGUCGAUUUUUAAAGAAGAAAUCAUCUUCUAAGGCUGAUAAUAACGAAAAGUUCGUUGCAAUGAUAUCUGAAAUUAAUAUGGCACAAGAUGAUAAUACAUGGUGGAUUGAUACCGGAGCAACCAAACAUGUGUGCAAAGACAAAAGCAUGUUCACAAAGUUCACACAAUGUGAAAAUGACAAUGUCUUGUACAUGGGAAAUUCUUCCACCGCAACAAUUAAAGGCAAAGGGUCUGUUGAACUACAAUUCACUUCUGGAAAGGUUUUAACCUUAAAUGAUGUAUAUUAUGUACCAAAAGUUAGGAAAAAUUUAGUGUCUGGAAGUCUGUUGAAUAAGUUUGGUUUCAAACUUGUUUUUGAGGCAGAUAAGUUUAUUUUGUCUAAGGGAGGAAUUUUUGUGGGAAAAUGGUAUAUGUAUGAAAGCAUGUUCAAACUUAAUAUUAUUAAUAAGAAUAAAAAUACUAUUUCUGCUUAUAUGGUUGAAUCAUUUUGUUUGUGGCAUUAUAGAUUAGGUCAUUUGAAUUAUAGAAAAUUGAAUGACAUGUAUAAAUUAGAUUUAAUUCCUGUUUUUAAUAAUAAUAUUGAAAAAUGCAAUACCUGUAUGUUGACUAAAAUUACAAGAAAUCAUUUCCCUAAGGUUAAAAGGAAAACAAAAUUGCUUGAUUUGAUACAUAGUGAUUUAUGUGACUUGCAUAAUACUCCUACAUUAGGUGGAAAGAAAUAUUUUGUUACUUUUAUUGAUGAUUGUUCUAGAUAUUGUUAUGUAUAUUUAUUGCAUUCAAAAGAUGAAGCGCUUGAUAAAUUUAAAGUUUAUAAAUCUGAAGUUGAACUUCAGUGUGAAUCAUUUAUCAAGUGCUUAAGAUCGGAUAGAGGUGGAGAAUACUAUAAUCCAAGUUAUUUUGAACUCACUAGAAUUGUCCAUCAAGUUUCAGCCCCUUACACACCACAACAAAAUGGUGUAGUUGAAAGGAAAAAUAGAGUCUUGAUUGAAAUGGUAAAUUCAAUGUUAUCAUAUUCAGGUCUUGGACAGGGUUUUUGGGGAGAAGCUGUUCUAACAGCUUGUCAUAUAUUGAAUAGAGUUCCUAAUAAAGAAACUAAAAUAACCCCCUAUGAACAAUGGAAGAAAAGGAAACCAAACUUUAAUUAUUUAAAGGUUUGGGGUUGUAGAGCUUGGGGUUGUAGAGCUAUUGUAAAAGUUCCAACACCUAAACGUAAAAAGUUAGGUGAAAGAGGAAUUGAAUGCAUAUUUAUAGGUUAUGCACAUAAUAGCAAGGCAUAUAGGUUCAUAGUAAUUGAACCAAAUGAUUCAAUUUCAAUUAAUACGGUUAUUGAAUCAAGAGAUGCUAUUUUUGAUGAAAAUAGAUUUAAUUCUAUAUCAAGACAAUUACAACCACAACAAUUGAUUCAUUCUUCAAAUGAGAAUGAGAUUCCAUUGAAACAAAUUGAUAAUAAUGAUGAAUCUUGUCAAGAAUUAAGAAGAAGUAAUAGGAUUAAAAAGGUCAAAGAUUUUGGACCAGAUUUCAUUAUGUUUCUUGUAGAAGGAAAAGGUGAAAGUAUAUGCAAUAAGAUACCUUAUUGUUAUAAUACCGAAUCUGAUCCUAUUACAUUUGAAGAAGCAGUGAAAUCUCAAGACUCUGCUUUUUGGAAAGAAGCAAUAAAUGAUGAAAUGGAUUCAAUAAUGGGAAAUCAAACUUGGAUCUUAGUUGAUCAUCCACCAGGUUCCAAACCAAUAGGUUGUAAAUGGAUCUUCAAAAAGAAAAUGAAGGUCGAUGGAACCAUUGAUAAAUUUAAAGCAAGGUUGGUAGCAAAAGGUUUUACACAAAGACAAGGUAUUGAUUCCUUUGAUACCUAUGCUCCAGUAGCAAGAAUUGCUACAAUUAGACUAUUAAUAUCACUUACCUCUAUAUAUAAUUUGGUUGUUCACCAAAUGGAUGUUAAAACUGCAUUUUUAAAUGGUGAAUUGGAAGAGGAAGUGUACAUGGAGCAACCGGAAGGAUUUGUUGUUCCAGGACAAGAGCAUAAGGUAUGUAAGCUUGUUAAAUCUUUAUAUGGGCUUAAACAAGCACCAAAACAAUGGCACCAAAAGUUUGACAAGGUUGUUUUAGCUAAUGGCUAUAAAAUAAAUGAAUCCGAUAAGUGCAUAUAUAGUAAAUUUGAUAAUGGAAAGGGUGUUAUAAUUUGCUUAUAUGUAGAUGACAUGCUCAUUUUUGGCACGGAUUUGGAAUAAAUAGAAAACACAAAGAAAUUCUUGUCAAACAACUUUGCUAUGAAGGAUAUGGGUGUAGCAGAUGUUAUUCUUGGGAUUAAAAUAACCCGAGAUGAAAGCACUAUAGCUUUAUCACAAUCACAUUACAUUGAAAAUGUGCUUAAAAAGUUUGAUCUUUUCAACUGUAUACCAGCAUCUACACCCAUGGAUCCUCAAUUAAAAUUAGUAUCUAAUGCUGGUAGGAAAAUUGAUCAAUUGAAAUAUGCAAGUCUAAUUGGUUGUCUUAUGUACAUAAUGACUUGUACAAGACCAGAUAUUGCAUAUGCUAUUGGAAAAUUGAGUAGAUACACAAGUAAUCCAAGUAGUUUGCAUUGUCAAGCUUUAAAUAGAGUACUUAGGUACUUAAAGAAAACUAUUAACUAUGGAUUGUGUUAUAAUGGAUAUCCUCCAGUUUUAGAAGGGUAUUCGGAUGCUAGUUGGAUUACAAGUUUGGAAGAUCAUGCAUCUACUAGUGGGUGGAUCUUCAUUCUUGGUGGAGGAGUCAUUUCUUGGGGUUCCAAGAAACAAACAUGUAUUACUGAUUCCACCAUGGCAGCAGAAUUUAUUGCAUUAGCCGCUGCAUCUAAAGAAGCAGAAUGGUUAAGAAAUUUGCUUUAUGAUGUACCUUUAUGGCUUAAGCCAAUUUCACCUAUUUCUAUCCGUUGUGAUAGUGAGGCUACUCUAGCAAAGGCAUAUAGCCAAGUAUAUAAUGGAAAGUCUAGACACAUUGGAUUAAGACAUAGUUAUGUCCGACAAUUAAUCUCUGAUGGAGUGAUCACUAUUAAUUAUGUGAGGUCAAGUGAAAAUUUGGCAGAUCCUUUGACAAAAAGUCUUGCUAGAGAUGCAGUAAAAAGGACCUCAAAAGGGAUGGGACUCAAGCCUAUUAAUUAGAGCCACCCAUUAUGGAAACUCGACUCAACGCUUGGUAUAACGUCAAGUCUUGAGUUCAAUGAGACAAAGUACAUCAUUAGUAUGUGACUGUUAGCACUAUAAAUAAAUCCAUCCUAAGAUUAAAGUGCUAGGUACCCGUAAUGAUAAGGGAAGGAUGAGUAAUGUACUCUUAAUGGACCCAUAACAUAAAUAUGUUAGAGUGUUAUAAUUACGGGAACACUUUUGAUGGGAUCUACCUAUGUGAGUGGAAGUGUGGCCGCUUCUAGGAGCUUAAGGGCUUGGCUCUGACAGCACUCAUGAAAAGAGGACAUAGACACAUGGCUAUAAUAGUGUCCCUAGAUACUAUGCAUUGACUGAUGUUGAAAUCAUUGUGUGAGAUAUGUUCAGUUAAUCAAAUGGAAUAGUUGGUUCAAAGCUUAGUCUACCAUACAAUUUCGAUUAACUUUAACAUGUUUUCACUAAGUGAAGGUUCAAUCGUAAGACACCUUUAUUUAUGCAAAUUGAUUUCCAAGAAUAUCAAAAUCUAAAUAUUUUGAAAAUGGGGGGAGAUUGUUGGAAUAUUUUCAAAUAUUUAUAGUAUCCCAAUAACUAUAAAUGAAUGGGUGUAAUUAAUCAAAAGAUAAAACUUUUGGUCAUUGGUCAAAAGUUAUAUCAUUUGAUUUUUUAAAAAAGAAUUAUAACUAUUCAAAAAAUAUUAUUUGAAUAGUUACAAAAUUAAAUGAAUAAUUAUUAUUAUUUAUUUAUUCAUAAAGACACCUAUUGAAAGAUGUCUCUAUGAAGAGACAUGAAAAUUCCUAUAAAUAGGAAUAGGAUUUCAUUUGGAAAUCAUAUCAACAAAUUCUAAUAUUAUUUCUUCUCUUCCUUCAUUUUCUAAUAUUAUUAUAUUAUUCUAUAAAGUAUUGCUGCAGAAAUCCUUUGUAGAAAUUGAGUUUUUGUUAUACAUUACUCAGUGCAUAGUGGACUAUUCUCGUCAGUGCAAAACACAAAUAGUCAUUGGCUUCAUUGUAUCCUCGAGGUUAAUUCGCUUGGAACUCGUUUGCACACUGAAGAUAAGUGGGGGCGAAUAUAACCUUAAAGAUAGUGGCUUGAUACACGCCUUGGAGCCUGUCCUAUUUCUUCUUUUUCUUUUCGAGUUCCGAUCGUGUGUUCAAGUUUUUUUCUUACCGGAGUUUUGUACUAACAGGUUUGACGGUCAUCUUGAAGCAUAUAUAAAAUUAAAUGAUUGAAUUAUUGAAAUCAUGAAAUAAAAUAAUUAUGAAAUCAGAAUUUAAGGUUAGAGGUUAUUUUUAGAAAUUUAACUUUUUAAUUAAUUAAUUUAGCACAAAUUUUAUACAAGUCAUGAACUUAAUUUCAUCAAAUUAUAUUAUCCAACUUUUACUGUUAAUAAAUUAAGCGGUAAAAAAAAACACAUGUCUUGAUAUAAAAUAUCAAAAUUGAUUAUAUUGAAGGUGGUACAAAUAAUUGCAAGAAAUUGUAAUUAUUAGGUAGUGAUUAUAACCUCUCAUAAUAAAUUUUGAAAAUAAUUAAUGUUAAUUAUUCACGUAAUUCUUCUAAUUUUCAAUUAUUUCCUUAAAAAUUAAAAAGUAACAAAAAUAUAUAUAUAAAUUAUAAUGGUUAAGAAAAUAUGUCAUAAAUAUGUAAUUAUAAGUAAUUACAUCAAAAUUUAAUUACUACUGCUUUCUAAACACCCCUAAAAUUUAAAUAUAAUCAUUUCUUUGUUUAAAUAUGCUAAAGAUUUCUAUACUCUUUUAAAAUUUAAAUUUUAGUCUCCAUGCUUUAAUUUUGAGACAUUGAGUUCUUAUAGUUUUUUAUUUAAAAAUCUUGGUUUCUCCAUCUAAUUUUGCCAUUAAAAUUAAUGGUGUCAACGGUAAAAUAAAUUUUUAACCCUCAACAUAUAUUGUGCAGAUCAUAGACUAAAUUGCUUUAUUAGUUUUCUAUUGUUAAUCUUAUUAUUAUUAUUAUUAUUAUUAUUAUUGUUAACACCACUUCCAUUUUAACAACACCAAUUUCUAACAAUUGCAGAAGAAUGUCUAGUCAUUCCACACAAAUUAACAACAAUUUGCAGCAUCCACUACAUUCAUAUGAAUUCCACACAAAUUAAGACUGCAAAUUCUAACUUGUUUAUACCCUCAAUGAAGUUACCUACUGCAGAUUUUGUAUUGCUUGGAAUGAAUUGACUGUCAUUUUCUACUACUUGCCACAAAAUUUUGUAUUGCUUUAAAUUCAAACAGGAAGAAGAAAACAUGAAAAGAUGAUGAGAUGAGCAUGAAGAUUGCUAUAAAUUUGAUCCACCAAUUAAUAAGCUAACUAAAGGAAAUAAGGACAUUUGAUCCACCAAUUAAUGUUUGAAUUCACUAUAGUACUAUGCUUUUUACUGUCAAAAUCUUGGAUGCAGAGAUUAUUGGGACUAAAAAAUGAGAGUCAUGAAAGAAGACAUAAAUAGUUGAACCAUACAAAAUGUUACAUUUAAAACAAACCCUUACAAAUACUACGUAAUGCAAUGAAAUAUAGAUGAAUUGUUACAAUAACAAAGACAGAUGCAUGGCAAUGCAACCUUUCACCAUAGGAAAAAAAUUGGACAGACUUCAAAACAAGAAAUUAUGAAGAUACUGUUGCGGAAGCGACGAUAAUAUUAAUAACAAUAUUAUCAGAAAUAUUUAGAUAAUUAUUAUGCCAACAAUUAUACUAAGAAAAUUCCCAGUUAAAUUGGAGGGGUCACAAAUGGUCCCGCUUAAAACCCAACAACUAGACAGAACUCACUUAGAUAUUUAUAGCAAUAAUAACUAAAUAAAUAUAACCAACAUAAAGCUAUUAAAUAUAAGCAAACAAAUAAGAAAUAAAAUACCAGAGAUUUAACGAGGUUCGGCCAAUUUAGCUUACGUCCUCGGACACUACCAAAUCAAUAUUUCUACUAGAAAUAUUACAAAGGAGAAGAUUUUUUGGGAUGAUACAACCAAAGGGGGAGGGGUUCUAUAUAUAACAAACCAAACCCCCUCCCUUUCUAUCUUUUCCUAAUGUGGGAUAUUGCCAAUAUUCAACAAAUCUCCACCUUGGCGAUAUUCCACAUCUUCGAACAUCUUCUCAUAACACUAACUUCAAUAGUGUCUUCAAAUUUGCAACCAAUCGCCUUCUUCCCUUUUGGUAGUUGUGCCAGCUUCCACGUCUUGUUUUUCUCUAGAGAUUGCAUUUCCUCUUCCAUUGCACCUAACCAUCUAUUAUUCUCUAAACUCUGAAUGGCUUUGGUGUAAGUGGAUGGAAUAUUAUCAACAACUGGAAGUGCAUAAGCUACCAUGUCAGUGAAACGAGCAGGUUUCUGAAUUUCUCGUCUCUGCCUUCUGACUGCAAUUGGCUCUGAUUGCUGUUGAGGUUCUUGGGUAGAAACCUCUUCCUCAUCUGACUCUGCAUCUGCCAAUGAAGAAUCACUAGUGGUACCUUCUGCUGGAAUUACCACACUCUGCUCAAACUCCACCUGCUGCGGAGUACACUCCACCUGCUGCGAAGUACUACUCACUCCUUCUGGAUUUACCUUAUUCAACAUGGCAGAUUCAUGAAAGGUAACAUCCCUACUGAUUAUCGUCUUCUUUGCCUCUAGACACCACAAACGAUAUCCCUUAACACCAGCAUUGAAGCCCAUGAAUAGAGCCUUCUUUGCUCUUGGAUCUAACUUUGAUUCUUUCACAUGAUAAUAUGCAAUAGAACCAAAAAUGCGCAAGGUGUCAUAAUCAGUAGCAGGUUUUCCAUACCAUUUUUCCAAAGGAGUCUUGCCAUUUAUAGCAGAUGAUGGCAAAUGAUUGAUGAGAUGUUGAGCGUACGUCACAGCCUCAGUCCAAAACUUUCUAUCUAAUCCAGCAUUAGAUAACAUACAUCGAACUUUCUCCACAAGCGUUCGAUUCAUUCGCUCUGCCACCCCAUUCUGUUGCGGUGUUCCACCUACGGUGAAGUGCCUUACUAUGCCACAAUCUUGGCAUAUCUUCAGGAAAGGAUCGCUUUUAUAUUCUCCACCGUUGUCUGAUCGGAGAACCUUAAUCUUCCUUCCUGUCUGAUUUUCAACUUUAGUUUUCCACUUAAGGAAAACUUCAAGCACCUCAUCUUUGUUCUUCAUAGGAAACACCCAAACUCGUCUGGAAAAAUCAUCAAUAAAGGUGACAAAAUAACGUCUUCCUCCAAGUGAUGGAGUCUUGGACGGUCCCCAUACAUCAGAAUGCACAUAAUCCAGAAUACCUUUAGUAUUGUGAAUCCCAGUGCCAAAUUUCACCCUUCGUUGUUUUCCCAGAACACAAUGCUCGCAAAAUUCAAGUUUGCAAGUCUUUGUACUUUUCAAUAAUCCUUGCUUGGCUAGAGUUUGCAAGGAUUUUUCACCAGCAUGGCCCAAACGCAUAUGCCACAGCUGUGUUGCCUCAGCGUCCUUCUUGGUACUCGAAAUUGCUGCUGCUGUUGUCCCGACCACUGUACUACCUUGGUAGUAAUACAGAUUGUUCUUUCUUAUGCCAUUCAACAUCACCAAUGCUCCUGAAGUUGCUUUAAGAACUCCAUCUCGUAUUGUCACAACUAGGCCUUUAGAUUCUAACGACCCCAAAGAGAUGAGAUUCUUCUUCAACUUUGGGACAUAUCGUACAUCCCGCAAAAUUCUAGUAGAUCCAUCAUGACUCCUCAGUUUAAUUGAACCUAUCCCGGCUAUUUUACAUGUGUUAUCAUUACCCAUGUAAACAACCCCUUCAUCUAGUUUUUGAAAUUCAAAGAACCAUUCCCGAAUGGGACACAUAUGAUAGGAACAACCAGAAUCCAUGAUCCACUCAUCUGCAUAUAAUGUUGAAGAUGUCAUACUAAGAGAAAAGUUUGACUCUGCUUCACUAUUGCAUUUUGCAACAUUUGCAUCUUGCGGAGUCUUCCCUUUUUUCUUCAAUUUUGGACAAUCUUUCUUCCAAUGUCCUUUUUCUUUGCAAAAGGAACAUUCAUCUUUGGCAACAGCUCGACCUUUGGACUUUCUUCUCUUCCCAUUAGACUGACUUUGCUGACGACCUCUUGUUACCAAUGCUUCCACUGCUGCUUCACCUGAACCUUUCAACUUAUCCUUUCGGCGUAAUUCAUAGCUAUACAAUGCAGCAGUUACUUCAUUGAAAGUUACUUCCGAUUUUCCAUGAAGUAGAGUAGUUUCAAGGUACUCAAACUCCUCAGGAAGCGAUCCCAACAACAUUAACGCCAAGUCUUCGUCUUCAAAAGUCACAUCCAAAUUCAACAAAUCAGCCACCAGCUGAUUAAAAUUGGUAAUGUGCUCGUUCAUCGUGGUACCAGGAACAUAAUUGAAACGAAACAGUCUUUUCAUCAUAUGCAACUUAUUUUGACUGUUCUUCUUCAAGAAUUUCUCCUCCAAUGCUUUCCACAAUUUACUUGCAGAAGUCUCUUUACUGAAUGUAUACUUCUGCUCUCUGGAAAGACAUGAUCGAAUUGUACCACAUGCCAAUCGGUUGAUGGUCUUCCAUUCUUUAUCAUCAACCCCUUCUGGUUUUUCUUCCUCAAUGGCAAUAUCUAGACCCUGUUGAAAGAGGGCAUCUAGAAGCUCACUUUGCCACAUGCCAAAAUGACCUGUUCCAUCAAAAAUUUCCACUACAAAUCUCGUAUUUGCAGUUCCAAUCCUCGGCAAAAUGUACGAAGUGGAAGUUGUUGAUAUGGAUGGUUUUUCUUCUGUCAUUUUUGCCAUAGCUUCUACUUAAUAGCCACCAAAUGCAGAAUACCCACAAGCUUUAGGAAAUGUUUCUGAUGUGUAAGAUCAGACUAAGCUGCAAACACAGAGCAUACUACAAAACCUUGGCUCUGAUACCAAUUGUUGCGGAAGCGACAAUAAUAUUAAUAACAAUAUUAUCAGAAAUAUUUAGAUAAUUAUUAUGCCAACAAUUAUACUAAGAAAAUUCCCAGUUAAAUUGGAGGGGUCACAAAUGGUCCCGCUUAAAACCCAACAACUAGACAGAACUCACUUAGAUAUUUAUAGCAAUAAUAACUAAAUAAAUAUAACCAACAUAAAGCUAUUAAAUAUAAGCAAACAAAUAAGAAAUAAAAUACCAGAGAUUUAACGAGGUUCGGCCAAUUUAGCUUACGUCCUCGGACACUACCAAAUUAAUAUUUCUUCUAGAAUAUUACAAAGGAGAAGAUUUUGGGAUGAUACAACCAAAGGGGGAGGGGUUCUAUAUAUAAAUAUCUAAGUGAGUUUUGUCUAGUUGUUGGGUUUUAAGCGGGACCAUUUGUGACCCCUCUAAUUUAACUGGGAAUUUUCUUAGUAUAAUUGUUGGCAUAAUAAUUAUCUAAAUAUUUCUGAUAAUAUUGUUAUUAAUAUUAUCGUCGCUUCCGCAACAAUUGGUAUCAGAGCCAAGGUUUUGUAGUAUGCUCUGUGUUUGCAGCUUAGUCUGAUCUUACACAUCAGAAACAUUUCUUAAAGCUUGUGGGUAUUCUGCAUUUGGUGGCUAUUAAGUAGAAGCUAUGGCAAAAAUGACAGAAGAAAAACCAUCCAUAUCAACAACUUCCACUUCGUACAUUUUGCCGAGGAUUGGAACUGCAAAUACGAGAUUUGUAGUGGAAAUUUUUGAUAUGGAUGGUUUUUCUUCUGUCAUUUUUGCCAUAGCUUCUACUUAAUAGCCACCAAAUGCAGAAUACCCACAAGCUUUAGGAAAUGUUUCUGAUGUGUAAGAUCAGACUAAGCUGCAAACACAGAGCAUACUACAAAACCUUGGCUCUGAUACCAAUUGUUGCGGAAGCGACGAUAAUAUUAAUAACAAUAUUAUCAGAAAUAUUUAGAUAAUUAUUAUGCCAACAAUUAUACUAAGAAAAUUCCCAGUUAAAUUGGAGGGGUCACAAAUGGUCCCGCUUAAAACCCAACAACUAGACAGAACUCACUUAGAUAUUUAUAGCAAUAAUAACUAAAUAAAUAUAACCAACAUAAAGCUAUUAAAUAUAAGCAAACAAAUAAGAAAUAAAAUACCAGAGAUUUAACGAGGUUCGGCCAAUUUAGCUUACGUCCUCGGACACUACCAAAUCAAUAUUUCUACUAGAAAUAUUACAAAGGAGAAGAUUUUUUGGGAUGAUACAACCAAAGGGGGAGGGGUUCUAUAUAUAACAAACCAAACCCCCUCCCUUUCUAUCUUUUCCUAAUGUGGGAUAUUGCCAAUAUUCAACAGAUACAACGUACACACUUGAACAUCAUUUCCACUAACUAGAUCCUUCUUCGUCCAUUGCUGCGACUGCCAUCCUUUCACUUUCUUCUUCGCUUCUUCUCAUGUUGGAUUUCAACCAAAUUCACCAACCAUUUCGGCUUACCAAUUUGGAAAACAACAUAUCCCACGACCAUUCCAAACACUACUCCGCAUCCAUAACCUAUCAACACCAAUUUCCAACCAAAAGAGAUGUUUGAUUUUGAACCAUCAUGCAUCAUUUACUUUGCAAACAAUUUCACAAGUAACCAAUCAUCAUCUUUAUUCAGUCCUACGUAUCAGUUGUAGUAGUUCAACCACUUCUUAUCAUUAAAACAUGCCAUACAUACACUAAGGGUAUUAAAAACAUCAAUCAAACCUAGAAAUAGGCCCAGUUGCAAAAUUUCUAAAACUGUUACAUAGGUAUUGAUACUGUCCUAGGGCUAUCCAUAUUUUUUUUAAGUGGUAUUGAUAUCACAUGGAAAAUCAAUACUAAACUAGCAUUCUAUCUCUCACCAAAUAUCAAAACAUAAAAAAUUAUUGGUACCUUUCGCAAGGUAUCAAUAAACUUACCCGAAGUAUUGAUUCCUGGGCUGAAGUAUCGAUACCAAAUACAUAUUUUGUUUCCCUGUACCUUCGAAAAUGCAAAGAUACCCUUUUUAGAAAAUAAAAUAUCGAUACCUCCACUACAGGCUAUAAAAUCUUAGCAUACUCCAACAUUAAAACCAUUCAAACUUAAUCCCAAACAACAUGCUUCAUUCACAUAGUUAAAGAACAGUGUAAUCGAAUGUUAAAUAUGUUACUCUGCAAUGCCGUUGUAAAUAUGACUGUUAAAUUUGUUGAUAGCUAUACUGGUUUGGCACAAAAUUAAGAAUACACAGGCAGGUUGAACUAUUCCAUGUAUGAACCUUUGCAACAUAAAUGCAGAUGGCACAAAGACGCAAACCAUACCUUAUGUUCUUGAAUUCUCAUCAUCACAUGCUUAUAAAUGCAACUCAAGCUUACCUAAUUGAAUCUUUUGGUAAUUCAAAAUGUAUUUUUUUUUGUAGUGAGCAGUACAAGGACAUUAGAUCCACCAAUUUCUGUUUGAAUUCAUUACGUCAUUCAGCUCUGCUAUGUACUAUUAUUUCCAAAAAUCUUGAAAGGAGACAUCCUCCAAUUUAAAGACAAGAAAUGAGAAAGAAUGGCAGUGAAUAAAUAAGGAAAAACCAUGUAUAUUCAGAACCACAAUAAAACAAAUAUUUUAUAUGUAUUUUCUCAAUCGUAUUAGUGAAAUGCUAUAAAUUUUGUAACAAUUUUUUACUAAAUAUAAAAUAUUAAAAUUAAUACAUAUGGUGAUAUUGGAUAUACAGAGAAGACCCAAGCAUGAAGUUUGAGCGGGUCCUUGUACUCUGCAAUCUUGUGGUAAAUCCUUGAACUACAUUUAUGAAUACUAAAAUAUUAAUUACCUCACUAAUUGAUGAAUCCUGAAAGUGCUCUUACGUUUUCUUAUAAAAGAACAAAGAUUACCUUGAAUAUUUGAAUUCAUUACAUCAUUGAGCUCUGCCAUGUUUUAUUACUAUGACCAUAUAACUUCAUCCUUUAAGCUUGUACAGCUAAUUGUCGAUUCACUUCACAUGCUCUUUUAUCCUUUCAUGGUCGGUCCAACUUAAUCUACAAGCAAUGAGGAAAUUCGGGGACAAUUACAGCACAAUUCCGCACAAAAUAACAACAAUUUGUAGUAUUGAUUACGUUGACUUGAGAAAUAGAGAGGAAAAAAAAACAUGCUUGUCUGUACCGUCAAUGAAGCUACCAUAUGAAUGCAUUCCAUGAAGCAUAAGCAAACAUAUGUACGAGUACCCAAUUUAAGUUCAACUUUAAGAUAGAUUAAUUAGUUUAUAUGUAGCAAUUUUACAGCUGAAAAUUUUCUGAACAUUAGAAUUGUCCAACAUAUCUACAAUGCUAUUUGUACAUUUUUUUAUCAGUAACUACUGCUAAAAUAAUUUCCUGUAAGGCGAGAUUACGGUUAAUUUAAAUUAGCUUAAGUUCGAUUUCUCAACAUGAAAAAAACAUAACAAAAUCCCUCUUAUAACGUGCCCUUCGCACAUUGAAGUAUUGACUAUGCUUAGUGGAAUAAUGUAGAGAUACAACCCCCAAUUGCAUCUUCAUUAAAGCCUACUUAUAGGAAAAUAGGGACAUGGGAUCCACCAAUUGUACCUUAGCUGCUGCCCUUAUUUCACGUCAAUGCAAGACUAUUGUUGUCAGACAAACUUAAUCAACAAACCGUGAGAAAAUUUCCGGUCGACAUUUACACCACAAUAUACAAUAAUAAAAAUUUUGCUCAUAAUGUUUACGCAAUUUGAUCAUAAUUCCAAAAAUUUAUAUAUUCUUUUAAUUUGAUGUAAUUCUAAAAAUUAUAAUAAAAAUGAAGUUCGAGCUAAGAAAAGCUCUUCUAAUAAGGUUCAAGUGACAAGGGGGAGUGCCCACUACUUUGGACACUACCCAUCACGGGAGGGUGAAAAUAAGAUUCACAGUUACUAGAGAGAUUGAAUCCCUUGCAGGAUCCAAGAAAUAUAAAGGCAAGGUUCUUGUUGUAGUAAAAUCUAGCAAGAAAAGAAAGAUUUUGUUGGACGAUUCCUCGCUUCUGAGACAAGUUCGAAUUCAUCAUCCAAGAGCGCACCUCUUUGUGUCAUGCUACAGCCUUAAACAAAGCAUCCUAAUGUUCUUGUUCUGCUGCAAAAAAGAACAAAAGGAUGAAACAAGUUGGGGUGCCAAAAUUUUUUUCUGAUGCAACUACAUCAACAAGAAAGCAGGAAGAAAGAAUCCUGGACUAGAAAAAGAAACUUUUCCUGGAUCCGGACUGCUCCAAUUCCAUAUCUUGUCCUUUCAUAACAAUUCCAAUGGAAUAGAUAUAGAAGGCACUACCUCUAUGGCCAUACACCCCCAUGUACGACACUGUACUACCGAUCUUCUCUAGAUUUAUGAUAGCCUUGAAGCUGUUGAUGUAUCUCACUGGUAGGGGUCCAGAAAAAUAAUUACUUGAGAGGUCAAAAUUUUGGAUUUUAGAGAAAAAAAGGGAUAGACUUGGAGCUAUGGUCAUGCAAGGAACCAUGCAUUUGAUUUAACUUUAGUACAAGAACUUAUAGCUGUGGAAGUGAUACAUGAUGGGAUGAAAUUUAUUAAAUUUCAAUCACCAACGCUGUCAAUUUUCAAGCUUGAGAAAUCAGCAGACUUGCGACGACUUGUUGUGUGGUAUCCUGGAAUUUUUGGGUUGAGAUUUCAAUGAAGUUGGAAGAUCUGUCUCUUAGCUUCGAAACGUAUUUUGAAUCACUCAAUUUUGAGUUCGGGAGCUCAAGUUAUGACCAUUUUAGUGAAGGCUGCGCAAGCAGAAUUUUUGAACGGGAUUAUGACGGGAAUUACAAAUUUCGGGCUUUUAAUUCGAGUUUAAAUCAUAUUUGGUUCGGUUGUAGGUUUAAUUUUUAUUAUAUAUGAGACCAAUAUUGUAUUAAUCAGCUCUUAUUAUUCUAUUAUUAGUUUGUUCUAAAUUUUUUUAUAAUUAUUAAGUAUUUUAAGUUAUUUAGGAGUUUUAUGUUAACAAGAAAGUUUAAUUUAAAACUAUUUUUUGUUUAGAUUAAAUUAGAGUUCUAGUAUACUUAAAAAUUUUAUUUAGAUUUAUUUAGCUAGACUAUAUAUAGGCCUUUUCAUUGUACACAAUUCAUUAUUAUUCUAUUUCUCUUAGAGUUAAUAAAUUCUCUCUAGAUUUUUCUUUUCAAGAAUUUCUCUUAAGUUUCUUUUAGAAGAGUUUUAACAAUCUUUUUAGAUUGUGGAGAUCAUCUUCAAACUUUUUUUUACCAAGAUUUCUAUCCUGGAGGGGAAAUUAGAGUUGUUUGAAAUGGGUUAUAGAUUCUUUGUGUUUGCAAGGCUUCUUAAGACUACAUGUCACGUUCUAUCUUUUUAUUUAUCUUGGAAGAGAAAUUAGAACUGCUUGAAGGGGGUUUUGGAUUCUUCGUGUUUCUAAAGCUUCUUAGGACUUCUAUACGUCACAUUCUAUCUUUCUAUUUAUUUUCUUUAUUCAUUUCCUUAUUGUUCUAAUAUUUGAUUUAUUUUUUUAUUCUAGUUAUUUAUUUUAAUUGUUUUAUCUGAUUUCGAUUUGAUUUCGUUUUAGGUUGUGUCAAAAUCUAAAUUUCUUUCCAAACGUGUAGAGCCCUAAGUCAAAUCCACGACUUUGACAAACUUUACGAUCCUCUUCUGUGUUCAUCCGUCUCAUUUUUUAUCAGGAAGACUUCCCAGCCAAUGAGGAAAUGUACCAUUGAUCUUGUUGUUACCAAGAUCUAGCUUAGCACUUUCAGUCCUUUACAAUUAAGGAUGGUGUCAAAGGCCCUUCUAACAGAUUUCCAUUUAAGUUGAAAUUACUCAAUUGGAAUCCCUUUGCAAAUGUUAGAGGAAUCGUCCCAUAAAACUUGUUCUUCUUCAGAUUCAUGAAUUCAAGGAUGUUGCUCAAAUCUCCAAAACAUUGCGAAAUUGUUCCACUCAAAUUAUUGUGGGACAAAUCAAGAAUUCGAAGAGAACUGGCAUUGCAUAUUAAAGAAGAGACCUCUCCAUUGAAACUAUUAUUUCAGAUCAGAAAGACUCCGAUCGUCGAAGCUGGAAUCAAAAGAUUUCCACUGAUCAAAUUGGAGCUUAAGUCAAGAAAUGCAAUAUUCUUCCAUUGAGUAGAUUGUCAAUUAAGAUUAAAGAUAUUAGAUUAGGAAAAGCAGCUACUUCAUCUGGAAUUGAACUUUCUAAUGAAUUUCUAGCUAUUUCCAAGUAUUCAAGUUGCGUUAGGUUUAAAAUUGACAAUGAAAUUUGUCCACUCAAUUCGUUCGAUGACAAGUCUAAAAAAUUCAAGGACACAAGAUUCCCCAUCGAGUCAGGCAAUAUCCUCCGCAAAUAUUUGCUUCUGAAAUAAUCAAGAACUCUAACGAUGAUAAAUUUGUGAUUGAGACAGAGAAUCUUUGAAAGAGAAUUACCUGAUAGAUCUAAGUACUUUAAGGCCUGUAGAUUAUCAACUGAAUUAAUGAAUUCGGUGGAGAAGGACAUCCACGACAGACCCAAAUGUUCAAGAUUGCUGCUCCGAUUGAACUUCAAAAGAUCAAGAUUCAGGUUUUGGUUGCCUCCCAAGUUGAGGAAAUUUAGGUUUGGCAAAUCAAAAAUGUUUUUUUGGGAAUUUUCCUUGCAAAUCACAACCAGAAAGACUGAGAGACCUUAGAGAAGAGGAUAGAUUCGUGAAGACAUGAGGAUUAAUAGAAGACAUGUUGAUUUCAUCCAAAAACAGAUGUCUGACCUCGGUCAGGUUGUGAACAAGUCCCUCGACAGCAUGUUUGUCAAUUGUUUGUCCAUCAGCCUAAUAGGAGAGAUUAAGUGAAACCAAUUUUGAUAGGUGGGAGACUUGGGAUGGGAUUUGUCCUACAAAACUUGUAUGAGAAAGGUUGAGAUAUACUAGGCUUGUAAAAAAAUUUAAAAUUUAAUCGGUUAGCAUUAAAUAUGUCAUUUUCUAUUAACUGCAAGAAAACUAUCCGGUAAACUGCAUCUUCCUCUUUAGAUGAAAUUUUGUAAAAAAAAAAAAAAUUGACAUUAUCACUUAUAUGGUCCUUCAAUUUUUUUUUUAAAAAGUCAUUUUAACUCUCUAUUUAAUUUUUCGCGUCUUUGAGCUUUUAAAUUUGCGUUAUUUAUCAAAUCAUCCCAAAAUGGAUGAAAAAGUUAACAUUUGUUAAUUCUAUUGACGAGACAUACAUAUCGAUAUCAAAUAAACAAUUAAUUGAUUUUUAAAUUUUAAAAAUUUUAAAAAUAAAACAUAUAUUAAAGUUUUCUAAGAAAUGAGGAAAUUGGAACCAUGUACAGAAGAAUGUCCAAUAAUAUAAACACAACAUUUUAGUUAUUUUCUACUGUCCAAUAAUGCCAUGUGUAUUAGUACAAACAUUCAUUAAACCUAAUUUAAUUUUAGCCAUUAAUUUAAUUUUUCAUCUUUAUUAGCCCUUAAACCUACAUUAUUUAUCAAAUAACCCUUAAACUUAUAUUGUUUAUCAGAUGAAAAAAUUAAUAUCUAUUAACUUUGCUAACGUGCAUACAUAUGCAACUUCUUAUUUAAAUCUAAAAAAUCUAAAAAUAAUUAAAUAUGUAUAAAUCUAAAAAUAUCUUAAAAUUAAAACUAAUUUUUUUUAAACUAAUGCAAAUUUUUAGUAUUUAAAAAAUCUUAAAAUUUUCAAAUUAAAUUCCAUUAGUUUUCCACCGUUGAAGAACACCUUCAAUCACAUCAACAAUUUCAUGCUGUUUUGCCUAGAAAUUGUUUUGCAAAUUUAUUUUGUUUUAUUUAUUUCUAAACCCAUAUUUCUUUGCUAUAACUCCAAUUAUUAGAUUGUUUAGGGUUUUGAGUAACUUUCGGUUUUAAAAUUUUAGAUUUUUUAAAUUUAAAUACGAAGUGCUCUUCUUCUUCUCCAAACCCACAAUUUUUUUCUGCCAAAUUUCAACUCAAGGUUUUACUUUCAACUAUAAAUAAAACAUAUAUUAUAUUUAUAAUAAUCUAAGAAGUGAAAUAAUUAGAAUUGACUUGGUCUUGCUUCCUUUAUAUGUAUGAAUGUGGAAAUUGGCAUAAUGCCAACUUAUUUUCCACGCAGAAGAAGAAAAUGGUGCUCUAUUCACUCCCUUUCCUAGCAAACAAGGCCACAUAUGACUUAGAUAGAUAUAUAUAUAUAUAUAUAUGGUCCCUAAGUGUGUAUAUAUUAAUAUAUUUUCAAGUAAACAAACUUAUGCCUUAAAAGUUGAAUAAUAGCAUCUAAGAAACAAAUUUUCCACCAGACUGGAAAUUUUGUAUUGCUUGGAAUGAAUUGACUCUCAUUUUCUAUUACUUGCUAGAAAUAGGGGAAAUUUCACAUCAAUGCAUUCACUUCACUAGGUCUUGCUUCCUAUCACUGUCAACCAAACUUGAUCGACUAGCAGUAAGGAAAUUUCAGUCAUUUGCAGCAUAAGAAUUCCACACCCUCAAAAUAAUUUGCAAUUUCAAAAAUAGAUUAAUAAGUGUGGUUCAAAUACCAAGACUAUAAUAUCUAUUCACUUCACUUGGUCUUUAUUACUCACACAGAAUGUAUCAUCAUCAUCAUUAUAUUACUCUUUUAUUGUUAUUUUUAUUUUUUUCUUGUUACUUUUAUUUGUUAUUAUUAUUAUUUUUUUAUACUUUCAUGUUUUCUUUUUCAUAUAUUCCACCUUUUAUUUGUUUAUUUCAUUCUUUUACCUAAUUAAUAUUAGAUUUUAUUAGUUGGUGCCAUUACUUAUUUGUUGUUUUUGAUAUAUCAUCGCUUCGUUAAUAUGCACCAUCAUUUUAUUAUUGUUGCAAUUACGUCACGAGCCGUUUUAAAUGUAUUCAUGCUUUUCUAUUAUGCCCCGAAUAAAUUAAAUAUCUACCAUUUUAAAUAUUACAUUAACUUUUAUGCGAUACAUAAAAAAAGAAUUUUUUUUUACCAAGGCAAAUGUUUGUUAUUUCAAAUUUAGAAAAAUCAUGUUCUAACUUACGGAAUAUGGUUGCCUUCUAAAAUUGAGAUAAUUGAAUAUAUUUUAAAAUAAACAAAAAUUUGUUUUUUUUUUUUUUACAUUUGUUCUCAUUUUCGGGAUUUAAGGCAUGGUGUCCUAACUUACGGAACGUGAUCCUUUUUCCCGAUUAAUUUAAAAUAAAUCUAUUUUUGUGAAAACAAAAUUUAAGUAAUAUUGAAACGAAGGACCGUAUUUUAAAAUCUCUUCAAAUUCUCAAUUUUUGACACUAAGACAUUAAUUAAUUAAUCAAUUAGGUACUAAUUUUGGGCGUUACGAGGGUGCUAAUAUUUCCUCGUACGUAACCGACUCUCGAACUUAUUUCCUGGAUUUUUGUAGACCAAAAAUUGUUGUUUUAGUAAAUCAAAUCUUUUAUUAAAACGAUUAAAUUACAAGGUGAUCCGAUCACACUAAUAAAAAGGAUUGGUGACGACUCCCAUUUUCGUUUUCAAAAUAAAAGUCGACCCUUUUCAAAAAUAGUUUCGACAAUGUGUAACAAGUAUUUUUAUUAAUCCAUUUGGAACAAGAUUUUGUUUCCUAAUGUUAAGAUUUGCUGGAGCAAAUAAAUUGAUUAAUGCUUUGAACUUUCCCAAACACUUUUUAUCAUUUUGUAUAAUUAGUAUAUUUGAAUAUAUUAGAUACAUCGUCUAAAACAAUGUCAAUAGUAAUUUUUUUAUAUUUUGUGGACCACAAGGGUACCAUAUAAAUAAUUUUAAAAAAAAGAUGGAGUGAUACAUUUACGUAGUGCUUAUGAAUAUAAUGUUGGAUUAAAAUCCUUAAUUAUGAGUACAUAUGUAUAAUGUUUGAUAUUACAAUUAUCUUAAUAAUUUUGUUUCUGUUUUUGUUGAUUGAUGAUUAUAAAAAUCAUUAUUUUUCUGAAGGCAUGCUUUGUUGUCAAUGACAGUACCUGCACCCUAAAAUAAUCACCAGCUUUAACAACUGCAAGAGUUGUCCUGCCUGACAUUUACUAAAAAAUCACCAGGGAGCACAUUGUCAGGAGAUCCUUGCUGGAAAAAACUUGGUAGGAUGGUUUUUUUGUGCAAACUUAGGAUUUCAAUUCUCAUCAAGGAACUUGCAAGCCAAUUAUUGUAGAAAUGUUUGUCCAAAUGAUAAACAUUUGGAAUCCUAACCACAGGGACUUUUGCAAGCCUAUUAAUUAGCUCCAGGAACUUUAGAUUCUACCUGUUCAAAACAUUUUUUCAAAGAAGGAAGCAUAGGUGAAAGGCGUCUAUUCUGGUUCAUCUCAUUGAAUACAUCAAAUGGAGGAUCAAUACGCUGAAAAAGGGACAAUGGAAAGAACUUUAGCCUACAACUUGAAUUUUAUAACUACUCCUAUGCCAACCAGCAAACCAUAACAGCAUACAUAAAAAAGAGGAUGCUGACUUACAGUUCCUUUCAUUUCACCAAAACCAAUCAAAUCCCUUGCAAUGUUGUUUGGAUCACAACAGCUCAUCUUUCAAUCCUAGAUGGCUCCGCCAAUUUUUUGAAAGCAUACAUGAACUGUUCAAGAAAUAAAUGGAUAAAACAACUACAGGAUAGAAGGCUAAAAAAUUACAAAGAGCAAUGACCUUAUUGUUAAAAUUCCAACGUCCAUUCCUUGGAAAGAUAUCUUCACCAUUGCCCACUCAAGAGAACUCAAAUAGCAGCAAGAUCUCGUAUAAAAUGUAACUCUCAACAACACACACAAAUGUUUGUUCUAUCAAGGAACAAUACACAGACAUAUUCACCUACCCUUGGUGCUGGCAGAAUAUGCCCAUUCACUUUGGUGAAAUUAGAGUUGAUAAUAACCCCACAAGAUUUCUGCACCAUAAUUACUGCGAAGUAAACCUGCACAUAAAUUUUCAUUCUUCACUAGAUACAUAUUGGAAAUUGGCCAACCAUGCUGCUGUUACAUUUUGUGGUUGAAGUGCAUGCAGCUUGAUGACAUGCUGGAGCACAUAUGGUUGCUGUAACAGCAAGGUUUCUCUUUAGUUUCUUUGUUGAUUAAACUAGUUGAAAAUGAACAAGUUGAUGACAACUUGAUGCAUUAGGUGUUGAAUGACUAGUUUAGGUGGCUUGUUUAUGUGUACAAGCAAUGUUUUAAUAGUCCCAAUGCUGAUUAGUGGGGUUAGUUGACUAUUUGAUGAUGUAUUUGACUAUAAAUGUAUGUUUUUUCUAGUUGAAUGAAUGAGCUGAAUAGGCUAUCAGCCAUAAGCUCCCUUGCUGCACAUUUGUGAGCAAGUAAAAAUACUUCUUGCACCUUGCUUCAUUGUUAUGCUCUCUGUUCUCUUCUUUUGCUGCUGCCAAAUGUUCCAACAAUACAGAAUCUAUUUUUGUAAGUAAAAAUUAGUUGUAUUCAUUGUUCACAUAAUUGAUCUUUUGUUGUGGAAGUAUUGUAUUUCCGGUAAUCCAUUAAGUAUUCAGUGUUUGAUAUAAUAGAUUUGCAUUUUAUUAUUGUAUUUUGUGAAAGGAUCCUUUAUCUAUUUUUUGUAACCUAUUUUGUUUUUUGCAUUUCUGAUUAGUUUACAUGAUGGCAUACUCAAUGAUCUCUUAAGUUAGUUAUGUUAGGCUCUUUAACCAUUGUUGUAGCUCACCGUACGUACUCCAUGCCCCCUUAUCCAUAUCUAGCUACUGACUAGUACACAACUAUCAUUGUUCUCACAUCACAUGUGGAUUGGUGGAUUUCUGAUAAUGGGUGUUGUUGCGCAUGCAGCCAUUUUUAUGGUAAGAGACAAUGAUUCAACUACUCUAUACAAUGAUUUAUUAGAUCGUGAUGUAAUCAUAUCACAUCUCAAUUGGGCAUUUAUAUUUCUUGACUUUGUAUAUUCAUAAUGAUACCAUGAUAGCCUUUUCCCCUCUUUUUUUUUGUUUUUUUUUUUUAUCUCUAGUCUCAAUUUUGGGCGUGACACAAUGAAAUUAGAAACUAAAUCUAUUUUUGUAAGUAAAAAUUAGUUUUAUUCAUUCUUCACAUAAUUGAUCCGGUAAUCCAUUCAGUGUUUGGUACAAUAGAUUUGCAUUAUAUAUAGGUUUGCCAAUGAGAUGGCAAGCAGACUGCUAGCUAGAAAUUCUUGCAUCUUUGAAUCACCAAUUCAAUUAAUAAGCUUAACUAAAGGAAAUAAGGACUUUACAUCCACCAAUUUUAGCAACCUAUAUGUACCCUUUUACAGUCUGCAUUGUUCCAUGUUUCAAUUCAUUCCAUCAUUCCUUCAACUCUGCUAUAUAUUAUUACCAUCUCCAGACAACCAAUCCUUUUACUGCUAACUUGUAAAGAAAUUAAGAAAAUACAGCAGAGAUCAUUGACACAUUUUGUUCUCCUUUCUCCUUUACUGAGCAGUAGCAAAGAUUGUCGAGACUAAAUUGAAAGUCAUGAAAGAAGACAUAAACAACACCACCAUACAAAAUGUUACACUCAAACAAACCGUUACAGAUAGUACGAAAUGCAAUGAAAGAGGAAUUGGUACAAUAAUAAAGACAGACACAUACCAAUGCAACCCUUCACCAUAGGCAAAACGGUCUACAGAACAAUAAAUUAUGAAAAUACAACACUAAUUCUUCAACAUCCUUUGCAGUAAUUAGAUCCUUUUUCGUCUAUAGCUUCAAUUGCCUUUCUUUGACUUUCUUCUUCGCCUCCUCUCUUGUUGGUUUUCAACCAAACUCACCAACCAUUUCGGCUUACCAGUUUGGAAAACAACAUAUCCCACGGACAUUCCGAACACCACUCCGCAUCCAUAACCUAUCAACACCACUUUCCAACCAAAAGCAAUGUUUGAUGUUGAGCCAUCUUUUUCAAGCACAUUUGGAGGUGCUGGCUCAAUGAUGUUGCAACCUUUCGAGACCGGAAACCCACAUAGUCCCUUAUUCCCUUCAUAUGAAUCAAUUCCAAAUGUGUUGAAUUGUUUUCCUUGAGGAAUCUGACCAUGGAGUUGAUUUUCAGAAACAUUGAAGGACGAAAGAAAUGGCAGAUCUGCCAAUCUAUUUGGAAUCGUCCCAGACAACCUGUUUGAAGAUAGGUCCAACCAUUCAAGACUUGUCAAAUUCCCUAUUGAGGUGGGGAUACCACCAUUAAGGUUAUUAUGGGAAAGGUUGAGCCCCUUUAGUAAGUUAAGCUUCCCAAUAACUUUUGGAAUCUCUCCUUCAAACUGAUUGUUUGAUAGAUCUAUGAUCAUCCACAUGGUGAAAAUUUUCACCAAUUCCCUAUCUUGUCCUUUCAUAACAAUUUCAAUGGAAUAGGUAUAAAAGUCACUACCUGUCGAAUCAUACACCCCCAUGUACGACAAUUUACUCCCAAUCUUCUCUAGAUUUAUGAUACCCUUGAAGCUGUUGAUGUAUCUCUCUGGUAGGGGUCCAGAAAAAUAAUUACUUGAGAGAUCAAAGAUUUGGAUUUUAGAGAAAAAAGGGCUAGACUUGGAGCUAUUGACACAUAAGGAACCAUGCAAAUGAUUUGACUUCAAUACAAGAACUUGCAAAUAUGGAAGACUUCCCAACCAAUGAGGAAAUGUAUCAUUGAUCUUGUUGUUACCAAGAUCUAGCACUUCCAGACCAUUACAAUUAAGGAUGGAUGGUGUCAAAGGCCCUUCUAACAGAUUUCCAUUUAAGUUGAAAUUACUCAAUUGGCAUCCCUCUGCAAAUGUUGGAGGAAUCGUCCCAUAGAACUUGUUCUUCUUCAGAUUCAAGAAUUUAAGGCUGUUGCUCAGAUUUCCAAAACAUUGCGGAAUUGUUCCACUCAAGUAAUUGUGGGACAAAUCAAGAAUUUGAAGAGCACUGGCAUUGCAUAUUAAAGAAGAGACCUCUCCAUUGAAACUAUUAUUUGAGAUCAGAAAGACAUUGAUCGUCGAUGCUGGAAUCGGAAGAUUUCCACUGAUCAAAUUGGAGCUUAAGUCAAGAAAUUCAAUAUUCUUCCAUGGAAAGUGCUCAACUUCUGUCAAAGAGUUGUGAGAUACGUUUAAGUAAGUCAAAGAGUCAUUCCCCACCUCUUGCAUCCACUGUGGAAUCUUGCCUUCAAUUUUGUUGCAAGAGAGGUCUAAGCUUUCCAAACUUUUAAGCCCUUUCAAAAAUUGGGGGAAUUCACUAAAAUUGCAAGAUGACAAAUGUAAGUCUGUAAGAUUAGGCAAUAUAUGAUUAACACUAGAAGUAGAAUUAGAUGUUAAGGAUAUGCGGAUAUAUGAAAGGUCAAGAUAUUCGAGAUUUGGAAGGCUUGAGAACAUGCGAAACUCUAUAACACCACUAAGAUUAUUUGAGGAUAAAACGAGGUGGGUAAGAUUGAGAACUUGGAAUAUUGAAGAUGGAAAAGGACCUUGGAGUUUAUUAUUGUUUAGAUAUAAAUGUUCUAGUGAUUUGGAUUGGAAUUCUUUGAUAUGCCCACUGAAUUGAUUUUGAGAGAGAAUUAUAACCUUUAAGGAGGGAGCAGUAUACAACCAUGACGGAAGUGUUCCAUUGAGUAAAUUGUCAGAUAAGCCUAAAUAUAUUAGAUUAGGAAAAGUGGUUACCUCAUCUGGAAUGGAUCCUUCUAAAGAAUUUUCAGAUAUUCCCAAGUAUUCCAGCUGGGUUAGGUUUAGAAUUGACAAUGGAAUUUGUCCACUCAAUUGGUUCCACGCCAACUCUAAAUAAGUGAGUUGCAAGAGGUUUCCCAGUGAUCUUGGAACCGUUCCUGAUAAGUUGGAAUUGGAGAGAUCUAAAAACUUCAAGGACACAAGAUUCCCCAUCGAAUCGGGCAAUCCUCCAAAAAUAUUUGCGCCUCUAAUAAUCAAGUACUCCAAAGAUGAUAAAUUUGUGAUUGAGACAGACAAUCCUUGAAAGAAAGAAUUUCCUGAUAGAUCUAAGUACUUUAAGGCCUGUAGAUUAUCAACUGAAUCAAUUAAUUCUGUAGAGAAGGACAUGGACGACAGAUCCAAAUGUUCAAGAUUGCUGCUCCGAUUGAACUUCAAGGGAUUAAGAUUGAGGUUUUGAUUGCCUCCCAAGUUGAGGAGAUUGAGGUUUGGGAAAUAAAAAAUGUUAUUUGGGAAUUUUCCUGGCAAAUCACAACCAGCAAGACUGAGAGACCUUAGAGAAGAGGAUAGAUUCAUGAAGACAUGAGCAUUAACAGAAGACAUGUCCAUUCCAUCCAAAAACAGAUGUCUGACCUCGGUUAGGUUGUGAACAAGUCCCUCCAGAGCAUGUUUGUCAAUUGUAAAUUGCUCAUACUUAUCAGUCCAAGAGGAGAGAUCGAGUGAAACCAAUUUUGGCAGGUGGGAGACUUGGGAUGGGACUUCUCCUACAAACCCUGUACGAGAAAGGUUGAGGUAGAAUAGGCUUGUAAACCGACCGAACUCGGAUGGCAUUUUGGAAAGAUUAAAAUGAUUGUAGGCAAGGUUGAGUUUUUGAAGGUGAGGAAGAAGGAAGAGAGUGGUAUUGGAAGGGAAGUUGCCAUAUAGCCAACUGCAACUCAAGUCAAGGGCAAUAACAUGAGCAUUUAGGUGGUCGCAAGUGACCCCAUCCCAUGAGCAGCAAUCUGUACCCUCCUUCCAUGAAUUUGUCUUGGGAUAAGAUUUAAGGCCAGUAAUAUAAUCGCAAGACAAAGAAGCAACCUUUUUUAUGGAAAAAGAGUCCUUAAACUGGAUUAGUGAAGAGCAGGAGUGAGAUUCUGAAGAAGAAAAAGAAGCAUAAAGAUGGGGAAAGAAGAGGAAUAGGCAGAGAAAGAGAUAGGGGGCCAUGUUAUGUUUGUAGAGGAAGAAGGAUAGGAAUGGUAUUUAUAGGCAACAAAUAAUACCACAACAUUGGUGUCUUUUACAUUGAAAAGCUAUGGAUAUUAGAUUUUCAAAGUUUUUGUAUUUUUCACAAUCAUCAGCAACCACUUGGUCUUGUUUUUACCAUACAUUUUUCGAUUUUUUUAUAGCAAAAUGUUGUAUAUCAUUUGAACUCCCUAAACAACUAAAAAAAUUAAGAUUGAGGAAGAAGACUGCUGGAAAUUUAAUCCAUCGAUUCUAUAAAAACGUGUAUACCUAUACAUAUAAUAAUCUCAUAAUUCAAAUCUAAAAUCUCAUUUGUUAUAAAUUAUGAUAAACUUAUUUGGGAAUAGCUAUUUUUCAUUAAUUAAAUUAUUUCUCUUUUAAUCAAGUAAAAAAUUAAAACUAAAAAGACAUUUAAAUAAUUUAAAUAUCAUUUAAAUUUACAAUCUGUGAUUUUAUAAUAGAAUAUGCAUUAAGGAUUUGCACACACACAGACAUGUUGUGAAGAUUGAGUGAAAUACUAGCUGUCCAAUUAAAUAUAAAAAAUGUCUUUGUUUUUCUGUUGGUAAUGAACAGGAGCCAAAUGUUGAAGUGGCUGGAACUUGUCUUGUAUUGCUUGCCUGCAGAUUUUGGUAUGUUUGAAAUGUAUGGAGAUGUGCCAAGUGGAACUAUUUUGGGGCUUAUCACUACCUCUGUGUCACACAACAGAACACAAAAUAAAAUAAUCAAAUCAGAUCUUUGAAUAUUGAAAUACCAAAAGUUAAAAGAGUACAUGCACUACAACCAAAAGUUUCGAUAUAUGAGGGUAGUGGGACAUGUAUGCUUGUGACCAAUUGGCUAGAAUUACAGGUCUGAAAUGUGGAGAACGUGUGGAUGUAAUUUUGCCCAUUUAUUACAAAUUGAUAAAACUGCAAUAUAAGUGCUUACUAUUUUAACUUUGUUACAAAUUAGUCCUUUUUUCUAAAAUUUAGGGAUUUAUAUAACUCAUUUUCAGAAAUUGACUCAAUUCUUUAAUAGUCAUUGUCGAAAACAUUAUAGAAUACCAAGCUUACGAAUUUGAAAGCAUUAUUGAAAACAAUUAUUAUUUUCAUAAAAUCAUUCAUCAAAUUUUUGUUUUCAAAUUUCAUACAUGAAAUUAACAAAUAAAGAUAGCUCUAAAUAGCAAAACCCAAUAUGUUUUAUCCAAAUUGAUAAAGAUGUUGAUGCAACAUUUUAGAUUGCGAAUUCCUUCAUCACAUUUGGAAUCCUAACCACAGGGACUUGCAAGCCUAUUACGAGUGCUAUGAUAAUCAAAUAAAAUUCAAUUCAAUUUUAAGUUCCAUAUAUAUAACACUUACAUGGCUACAAAAUGUGUGUGUGUGUGUAAGUGUCCUCAACCACAAACAAUCCAAAUUUGCACAGAAACCACCCAUUACAUAUAGGUUUGCCAAUGAGAUGGCAAGCAGACUGCUAGCUAGAAAUUCAUGCAUCUUUGAAUCACCAAUUCAAUUAAUAAGCUUAACUAAAGGAAAUAAGGACUUUACAUCCACCAAUUAAAGCAACCUAUAUGUACCCUUUUACAGUCUGCAUUGUUCCAUGUUUCAAUUCAUUACAUCAUUCCUUCAACUCUGCUAUAUAUUAUUACUUUCUCCAUAUAACCAAACCUUUUACUGCUAACUUGUAAAAAAAAUUAUGAAAAUACAACACAGAUCAUUGACACAUUUUGUUCUCCUUUCUCCUUUACUGAGCAGUAGCAAAGAUUAUCGAGACUAGAUUGAAAGUCAUGAAAGAAGACAUAAACAACAACACCAUACAAAAUGUUACACUCAAACAAACUAUUACAGAUAGUACGAAAUGCAAUGAAAGACAGAGGAAUUGGUACAAUAAUAAAGACAGACACGUAACAAUGCGACCCUUCACCAUAGGCAAAACGGUCUACAGAACAAGAAAUUAUGAAAAUACAACACUAAAUCUUGAACAUCGUUUGCAGUAAUUAGAUCCUUCUUCGUCUAUUGCUUCGAUUGCCUUUCUUUGCUUUUCUUCUUCGCCUCUUCUCUUGUUGGUUUUCAACCAAAUUCACCAACCAUUUCGGCUUACCAGUUUGGAAAACAACAUAUCCCACGGACAUUCCGAACACCACUCCGCAUCCAUAACCUAUCAACACCACUUUCCAACCAAAAGCAAUGUUUGAUUUUGAGCCAUCUUUUUCAAGCACAUUUGGAGGUGCUGGCUCAAUGAUGUUGCAACCUUUCGAGACCGGAAACCCACAUAGUCCCUUAUUCCCUUCAUAUGAAUCAUUUCCAAAUGUGUUGAAUUGUUUUCCUUGAGGAAUCUGACCAUGGAGUUGAUUUUCAGAAACAUUUAAGGACGAAAGAAAUGGCAGAUCUGCCAAUCUAUUUGGAAUCGUCCCAGACAACCUGUUUGAAGACAGGUCCAACCAUUCAAGAGUUGUCAAAUUCCCUAUUGAGGUGGGGAUACCACCAUUAAGGUUAUUAUGAGAAAGGUUGAGCCCUUUCAGUAAGUUAAGCUUCCCAAUAACCUUUGGAAUACCCCCUUCAAACUGAUUGUUUGAUAGAUCAAUGAUCAUCCACAUGGUAAAAAUUUUCACCAAUUCCAUAUAUUGUCCUUUCAUAACAAUUCCAAUGGAAUAGGUAUAGAAGCCACUACCUGUCGGAUCAUACACCCCCAUGUACGACAUUUUACUCCCAGCCUUCUCUAGAUUUAUGAUAGCCUUGAAGCUGUUGAUGUAUCUCACUGGUAGGGGUCCAGAAAAAUAAUUACUUGAGAGAUCAAAAAUUUGGAUUUUAGAGAAAAAAGGGCUAGACUUGGAGCUAUUGACACAUAAGGAACCAUGCAUAUGAUUUGACUUCAAUACAAGAACUUGUAGCUGUGGAAGACUUCCCAACCAAUGAGGAAAUGUAUCAUUGAUCUUGUUG
rnacentral:lncRNA from 1 species